UACAAUUGCUUUUUAUCUUGCUUUCCUCCUUGAGUCGGCAUUGGCCAGUUCUUGUGAAUUUUGUCUUGUAAUUUCAUUUCUGGAUUUGCUUAGUGCGAAAGCCACUGGGUUCUAAGAAAACAAGGUGUUCGGUCAAUUGUCUAAAAGAAGUUUAUAACGCUGCCCAUUAGUAUUACCACCUGCCCACGUUCACAAUGAGUGGGAACAACAUAAACUCGGUGUUCUACGCCGAGUUGUAUCAUCCGAUUCAAGCUGGCAGCAUUGACGGCACCGAUAUUCACCCCCACGAUAACGCCAUUUGUCGUGCUCUGCUCUGUUCCUCAGCUGGACUCUGUAUGUGCUUCUAUUUUCUUUAUUCCUUUCCACCCCCUACCCCCAACCCCCCCGCGGCAAAACAACUUUUUUAAGUAUUCCCAGUUCUUACCCAUUUUAUAUCUUAAUCAUCUUGCAGAUGACCCCGUCGGUGACCCCAAGGCCAUUGGUGACCCUUAUUGCACUGUCUUUGUGGGUCGGCUCUCUCAUUUUACUUCCGAGGACACUCUUCGCAAGGUUAGCGGUUUUUUUUUUUUUUUUAAAUUUCCGUUAAUUUUCUUCAUAUUCUGCAGUGUUGCAAAAUUGUAUCCAUUUUGGAUUGAAUUAAUGAGUUGAAAAAAUUAUUGGCUUGUGGGUGUUUUAGGCUAUGAGCAAGUAUGGUAGGGUCAAGAACUUACGGUUAGUGAGGGACAUUGGUAAAGUUGCCGUUCUGUAAAUUGUGUUAUGUUGUCACUAGUUAUGUUUGGAAUGUAACACCUAACUUGUUCUGGUGCUUAUUGAUUUGUAUGAUGUGCAGUUACGGGUGCAUCGCGUGGUUAUGCUUUUGUUGAAUAUGAAACUGAAAGAGAGAUGCGCCGUGCAUAUGAGGUAUGAGGCUGAUAAUUUGAUUCUUUCUUGCUUUGGCACUUUGUGACUGUUAUGCAAUUUGUGUUUUGCUCUGAAAUGUGAUUCAUUUCAGAUUCUGUAAUGCACCAUAAAUAUCCACACUUUGAUUAUUUGACCGCACUUGUGACUGUUGAGUCUAUAUUGGAUAUUUGCUUGAUAAAAGAGGAAUUAAUAUAAUAUGUUAUGUCUGUAUUAAAACUGGAGUUAUGUCUAUAUUAAAAUGGGAGUUUUUACCUUCUAGUUGAGGUUUAUGCACGUCCACAAUUUCAAAAUUAAACGAACUCAAACACAUUGAUCAUCCUGGCUGCAUGCAUGCAUUCAGUGUCCUCAUUGAUAGAAAGUAAAGUGAUGUUUUUUUUUUUUUUCCCAUGUCUGCCAUGCAGGAUGCUCACCACUCCAUUAUUGAUGAUCAUCAAAUUUUAGUUGAUUAUAACAGGCAACAGUUGAUGCCUGGGUGGAUUCCAAGGAGGUUAGGUUAGUUGUUCAUUUUAUUUACUCUGGUCAGCAUCAGCACCAAUAAAUUUGAUUCAUAUAAUUUUUGUCUCCUUUUUCCGUCAAGCAGGAGGAGGCCUUGGAGGUAAGAAAGAGUCGGGGCAGCUUCGCUUUGGAGGAAGAGAAAGACCAUUUAGAGCUCCUUUGUAUGUUCCUAAUUUUGGGGUUUUAUGUUUUGUCAUAAAUUUUUUCAUUAAGUGAUUGAAUGGAAUUGUUAGCCUUUAAGCAAUUUUAGUUCUAAUUUCCUCGAAUGAAAAAUGUUUGCUAUUAAAUCUUCUUUCUGUUCAUUUAUUUACUUCUUUAGGUGUUAUAGGCAAUAGCUUCAAUGUUAGUUUUAUUGUUCUUUUUUGUUUGCUUUUGGUGUUUAGUGGGUGUGUGAGUGGGUGGGGAAGAAGAAAGCUUAAGUGGAGCUACUGGCUGGAACAGGAAAAUAAUUGGAAUCAUCUAACUUUUGAUGGACUGAUGGAAUGAUACCUUGUGUGGACAGACCGUACUCAUUUUUUGUAAUAUUUCAAUAAGUUACAAAUCUAUUUUGUCAAGGAACUAUUUCAUUCCUCUCUUUCCGGAAAGCCAUCCAGGUGCAUUAUUUAGACACUUAAAGCAGCUGAUCUCAUAUUCUCACUUUUACGUAGAAAGCUUUGUCUUUUCUUCCAUCAUAUUUGACACACAAUUACCCUUCGACAGCAAUUAUCUGGGAAAUUCAUUUUCUUUGUGUUUGGCUUGGAUGGAGUAUAGUGUACGAAUUUGAUUUAGGUAUGUAUACUAGGCAAGAAAUGGAGGGAGAUGUAAUCUUUUUGUGCAUUGCUAUAUCUGAACUUAUCCUACCGUGUAAAACUGUUACACAAAUGUUUGAAACAAGGUAACUUUCCCAUCAAUUACUUAGGAGCUGCCUUGAGAACUGAAAGAUAUUGUUUCUUUGUGGCUCCACCCAAGAAUCCCUUUGAAUCAUAUUGUAUUGACUGAAAGGCACACUCUCUAUCAUAUUGUAUUGACUGAAAGGCACACUCUUUAUUUGUCAGGCUAGCACAACUGACAACUGCUACUCGUACAAGGCAAUAGGUGUUUAGCCACGAAUAGUAUUGUUUUUGGAAAAAAAAUGAAUUAAAAAGUUCAUUUCACUUUGUAACUAUAUGGUGGAAAUUUUCAGUACAUUAUUUUUAUGUACAUAUUUCUGACUUUGUUCAUUCUCUUGCAUCACCAGGCGUCCAAUUCCAUUUGAUGAGCUAAAGAGGCUCGGCAUUCCUCCUCCACCAGAAGGAAGAUAUAUGUCACGUUUUCAGGUAUUGUUUCUUUCAUCUUUUUUUUUUUUUCUCUUUUUUAGGAUUAUGAUAACCUAGAUUCCCGCACCGACCCGGACCAUGAGUCCUGCCCGGCCAAGCCCUAAACUAGGUGUCAGUCAGGUGCCCCAACUCCAUGAACUAUGAGACGGUGGAAUUUUUAAGUUCACUAGAAGGAUUGAACCUGAGACAUCAGUACAACCAAGCACUAUGUCUCAAGCCCACAACCAACUGGGCUGCCCCCUUGGAGUGUAUUGUUUCUUUCAUAUUACAGACCUUUUAGGGCACAAAAUACUGUUUCCAGGAAUUCUUUUUUCAUUUUGGUUCUUUAAUUUUCAUUGUAGGUCCCAUCACCCCCUAGAAGCAGAAGGUGCUCUAUAGAGAAGGAAGAAAACACUUGCAGUAGGAGCUUGAAGCACAGUGAAGAACGUACUCACAAAAGUAGCACCACGGAGAAGGAAGAGAAACACUAUAGAAGCUCUUUGGAGAAGGAAGAAUCACAUCGUAAAAGCUCUAUGGAGAAGGGGGUCGCAAAAGAAGCUUUGUGGACAGAGAAGAAAGCCAUUACAAAAGAAGCACUACAGAAGGGGAAGAGCGGUCACGGUCUCAUAAGAGGAGCUCUACAGACAAGGAAGAGAGCUCUCACCAAAGGAGGAGCUCCAAGGACAAGGAAAAGCACUCCCACCACUGCCAUAGUAAACGGUCUCGCAGACGUGAGAGAAGUUCAUAUGGUGAGGAUCACUAUACUGAUUACUGAGAUGCUGAAUGCUGGCCACUAUAGGGAAACGUUUGGUUUCAGUUAACUGCAGGUUUGAGUUGUGUAUGUAUAAACUGAUGAGUCCAUGCACUCACUCGGGUGAAAAAUAUGGAUAACUUGCUUAAAAUUGUAAAAUACCGAUUUCUGAAAAUCUGAAGCUAAUACUAUAUCGCUGUUGUUCAAGUGACAUAAUGGCUUCAGCACCUAAACGGAUUGUGGAUCAAUGUGAUUUCAGAUAUCCCAUAAAAGCUAUCUAUUUUGCCAAACACUGCUACCGCACUAAAUUCCAAAAUCCAGCGCCCCUAAAAACAGCAUAAUUAUGAAAUCUUUUAGCUAAUUCAUGGCCAAUUUAAACAUAGAGGUAAUUCAAAAAGGAAGAAUGAAAAAAAAAUCAAAUUCAAAGACCCAAGAUUAAAUGAGGGAAUUAUUCAAAUCUUCACUUGUUAGGAAGUUUGUUCUACUAUAGGUUGAGAUCAAGCUCUCUGCAAAUCCUUCCACUGUAUAAUCUGUUAAAUCAUCUUGAAAGCCAUCAAUUACAUAAUCUUUAUAUGUUCCAUCUUUUGGAUCAAAAAGUACAAAUUUCUCGUCUAAAACUGACAAAAUAAAAUGACUGGCCUUGAGGGAACACAAUGGCUGCAAUACAGGAACUGAAUUGGCUGAUGAAAUUUUCACACGUUCUGUCAAUGGGAUUAAACAAAGACAGUCUCCUAUGACUCAAAUUGAAUUGGAUGAAGAUAAAGAAUGAUCAUCAAAAUCAUUUUCAUUGGGCAAGGCUAAGAAUUUGAACUUGUCUUCUUACAAAUCGAACGCUGCAAUCAUCAUCAUGGAGCGAUGAUCAAAAGAGUGUCGGUGAGCGUGCAAAAACCAAAGUGGAUAUUUCCCUUGAGUGUGAUUGCCCAAGAAUUUUGUUAAAAAUAUUGAAAUUUGGUUUCAAAAAUUUUCCAAGUAUAGUCCUUUAAGAAAAGUCAUGCAUACCUACUAUAUUCUCUCUGUAAGAUUGAGAAAUUCCCAAAAGCUUGAAGUCAUCAAUUGACUGAGCAUAACCAGAGCCAUGUACUGUUGUAUUUAUUUUGUUGAAAAGGUUCAUAGUCUUUUGGUAUUAUUCUCUUGACCUCUGUGGUGCAACAAUUGUAUAUAUAUAUAAAGACAAAUUCUGCUUGAGUUUCAGCUUCAAUGGAUAAGCACAACAAACCAUUACAAGAACAGUGGGUCCAAACAGAAUCACAAGAGCCUUUUCCGAUUGGGAAAUUAAUAAGCCGAUCGGCCAUAAUAAUUUUGCUGUCCAGGUCUAUGCAGAGAAGAGAGUUUCUUACUAAACCGUUGUGAAUACCAGCAAGAACCAGCGUUUUUCUUUGUUGGUUUUGAGCUCGGUGCAACUUUGAGAAACCAAGUAUUGGUUAUCAAAGCCAUGAAUGACUCCGAUAAACAUUUGAAUCUGCAUAAAGACUUGGCAGUUUUGCAAAUAUGUCAACAAUGAUAUCCAGAGGAAGAGUCGCCUUUGCUUCUUCUGCAAGUUAAGCAAAUACUCUAGGUAUUAAUUUGUAUUCACAUAUUCGUAGCUUGCCAAGUUCAGACUUAAUGCUGGCUCAGUUCUCUACCCAGACCACACCCAUGUGAAUCUUCAAUUAAUGAACAUUGUAUUUUAAGAAUAAAUUUUUAUUAAAAUAAGAUGUCCAAAGUAUAUCUUAUGGUACAAAUUAAUGGCCUCGCCCAUCUUUAAAUAGCUUGAAGCUUCAAAGUCAAAGUAGAAGAAAGAAAACACAUUAUUUAUUUAUUAAUUACUAUCCUCGUGCUCAUUUGUAAAAGACAUUGAUAGUAUAAAACUAACUAAUAUUAUUCUUUCUUCAAAAUUAUGAGAUUGUUACGAGUAGCCACGCAAACAUGAGAUACUACACGUAGCCACCGAAAAGUUUGGAUCUGAAUAUUGCCCCGAGAAAAAACAUGCAGUUUGGAUCUGAAUGGCACCGACUUAUGAGGAAAAGUCAUUUCUGAAACUCAUGUCCUUGCCUUAUUCGCUUUAGAGGUGAUACAAAGCUGACCUUCACGAUUACUGCUUCAGUGAUUCAGUGACCAAAUCACAAUUUCCAUUGUGGUUUAAGACUCGAAAUGAACAGAAGAAAUACAAAUCUGAAUCACAAAGCUUUCGGUAAGUGUAAAACACAAACACACAUGAUUGAGAUAAACGCAUAAGAAAAUAAUGAGAUAGAAAUUAAUUAGUGUCGGACUUACAGAAGAAAAUAGGAUAUGAGGAAAGAAGGAAUGUUGAUUUGGUCUCUGCAAAUUCUCAUACUACUUGAUUCCAGUUGCUUUUCAUCGUAUCGGCCAACGCUUCCAAAAGUUCCACCCGUGCAGGCCUGAUCAAAUUUCGUAAAUCUGGUGCAGUCCACUUCACUAGUGGCAGCAAAUUUGAGAGUUUUGGGUUUGGUCCGGACGGGAUUUGCAUAUACUGGAGUCACCCCACAACACUUCAACUUGUAACGUUUGCUUUUAUGGUCAACCUCCAGACGAGAGCCAUCAUGGUCAAGAUAGUAAAGGGCGAACUCCAAUUUGACAGCAGUAUGGUGGUCGCCAUCAGGAAGCCCAAUACUCCAACAGGGAUCGAAUCCAAGCAUUAGAUGAUCUGAGUCAACAGUAUCAUACAUAACCAACCAGCAAUCGUGAUUAACAAGUUUUUUUUCCAAACGGUAUCUACACACGACUUGGAAAUAUUGGGAGCUACUGGCUUCAGGAUCUUUCUCAAAGACAAUAACAGCACAAAGAGCAAAUCCUACGAAGUCUUUAUUACAACGCUGUGGCAGUUGAAUAGUUAUCGAAGAUCCUGAACGUUGGUUGAUGAACCACUCUGGAAUUUUAUUUCCAGGUACAAUGAUGCUGCUUUCAAGUGGUGUAAAAAAUUCCUGUAAAUGUCAAAAUCAUGACUCCUAAUGUAAUAGAGAAGACAAAGAGCAAAGCCUGAGCAAGAGAAAAACAAAUGCGUACCAUGUCAUAGUAUGGUCUCUGAGAUACAGCUGUUUGCCAAACCCUUAGUUGUAAAUCUCUCAAAAUUUUGUUGCGUGCUCUAUUAUUAAGUUUCAGGCAAUUGCUAAACAGAUGUACUCUGAGCAGACAUGAUGGAAGCUCUGGCAAAGAUCGAAGCCGCUUGCAAUUCCUUGCAUCUAAUCUUUCUAGACGCAGUGGAAGCUCUGGUAUUGAUUGAAGCAUAUUGCAAUUUCUCAAGUAAAGACACUUCAGCUGUGAAAGUUGCUUGACACUUGCAGGUAAGCUCUCAAAUUUGUUUCCACUUAGAUCUAACACUUCCAUGGAUGAUAGAGAGCCAACUUCUUUAGGGAUUUCCGUUAUACCACAGUCUCUUAAAUCUAGAGAUCUUACAGAAGAUAGAACUGGUAAUAAUAGAGGUAAUACCAAAUUUUUGCAUCCUGAAAAUGCAACUGAUUUAAAUUCAUUUAAAUCUGCUGCGGAGGAUGGUAGUUGACUAAUGGCUGAUCCGAUUGCAUUGAGGUCCUUCAAAGAUUUUAAAUUACCAAAAGACUCUGGCAAACUAUCAAGCUUAGAGCAAUUCCACACCACUAAAGCCGUAAGCCUUCCAAGGCGUUCAAUUGAAGAUGGCAGCUCUUUAAUCGGUGUCCAGCUUAAAUUUAUAUAUUCUAAGCAUUCCAUUUCCUCCAAGAUCUCUGGGAAACUCUCAAGCUCUGGGCAGUGCUGAAGCUCAAGCCUACAAAGAGAUUUCAAUUUACAAAUGCUAGUUGAAAGUCUCUUCAGCCUUGUGCAAUGACUCACAUCUAACCCUUCAAGACUAGUUAGUCUCUCGAUUGACAAGGGAACUUCCCCUAUAGCUGUCUUACGUAAAUUUAGCUCUUUUAUAUUUCCCAAAAUCUGCGGAAACUCUGUGAGAUUAACACAAAAGGAGAAAUCAAUCUUUAUAGGAGAUGCAAAAUGAAUGUUGCUUGGGAAGCAUCUAAGACUUUCACAGCCACUUAGACACAAGGUACCAAGGUUGGAGAAAUUUUGGAUGUAUUGAGGAAUGUAAGCGAAGUUUGUACAAUUCCAAAGAUUUAUUUUCUCAAGAUUUGGGAUUUCUGAUGGUUCUGGGAUCCUAAUGAGCUUAUUAGAGUGAUGGAGGUCAAUAUAAUUCAGCUUAGAAGCUUCCUGUAGAAAAAAGAAUAAAAACAAUUAGUAGAAUGACUUAGAUUACUGAAUAAACAUAUUGAUAUUAGUAAUAGUAUACUACUGUUUACCUUUUUUCCGUCCCAGAUUUGCUUGACUUUACUAUAAGGCAAGUUGAGUGUAACAAGGUUCUCAGGUUCGAAAUCUGAUGGCAAUGAUUUUAAAGGAUAUUCAUACCAAUGGAGAUAUCUCAAUUCUUCAGGAAGAUAUUCGAGACCUUGGUCGAGAUACACUUUAGAGCUCAUAAUUGGAAUACCAUCAUGCUCGGGCAUAUAAAGUUUAAGCAAUCUGAGAUUUGACAUAUUUGCAAAUGCUCUAGGACCUAGAUGUAAGACUUUUAUUUUGGACAAAUCAAGGAAUAUGCCUUCAAUUGCAUCAGUUCCCUUAUCAACAAAAGCAAAAACUGAAUUAGCAUAACGUCCACAAAAAAAUAUUUAUUAAAAUCUAUAGAGAAGCUCCUUAAGCAAAGAGAAAAAUUAUUGGUGCAUAUUGUUGGUUUGACAUAUAACCGUGGCCACAAAAGCUAAGUAAAUUCUCACCUUAGUUUUUUUCAAUACAUUAUAAACAUCCUCAUAAUACCACAACCGACUACGCUUCCCUGGCUGCUCAAUGGAUUCUUGACGAACAAUUUCUCGUCCCAUUUCCUGCAAUAAAUCGUGCAUUUGCAGCUGAUUGCCACGUGAUACUGUCACAAGCGACUUAUCAACGAGGACAUUCAAUCCAUAAUGCGCAAAACUUGAAUCGCCUAUCAUCUUUAGCACAGAAUCUUUAUCCUGCCCAUUGAAAAAACAUGCAAUGUCUAGAAACAAACUCUUUUCUUCCGCCUUUAUUUCAUUAUAACUGAUUUUCAGCACAUCGUAGAUAUCAGGGUCGGAAAUCCGUUUUAAGUUAUCCAGGGCAUUUUCCCAAUCUAGCUUGCUCUUCUGACGAAGGAAAGAACCCAACACUCUCACUGCUAACGGAUUGCCAUUGGCAUAAUCUAGUAUACGCUUUGAGUGCACCAAGAGAUCUUCAGGGCAAUGGUUUUCUUUAAAGGCACAAUUACAGAAGAGCUCGAGAGCUUCACGAUAUUUCAAUCCAUUAACCUUAUAUAUAUUACCAACUCCAAAAUUAUCAAGAACUCGUCUAUCUCUAGUGGUUACUAUGAUUCGACUACCCGGACCAAAUCGUUCAAGCCCCCCAAUUAAAUAUUCCAACUGACCAACUUUAUUAACAUCAUCAAGAACUAAAAGCACCUUUGUCCGUUGGAGCCUUUCCCUCACAUAUUCAGGAAGAUUGGGGGUUCUUAUUCUGAGAUUUUCUUCAAAUACUUCAGAAAGAACUUGGUCUCGUAGAUGUAACAAUCCACCUCCUUUCUCUGAUUCUUCCCUCACAUUCGCCAAGAAGCACUUGCUUUCAAAUUCCUUAGAAAUUUGGUUGAAAAUAACGCCAGCAAUGGUUGUUUUACCUAUACCGCCCAUACCCCAAAUUCCUACAAUUUUGAAAUCCAAACGUCCGAGGAAUAACAAUGAUUUAAUUUUCUCAAUUUGUGAAUUUAAUCCAACUAGGCCAUUGGGGUAGGUAGAGACUGUAAUGUUUUCUACUUUCUUCAAAAUAUCUUUAACAACUACAUCUAGCAGGCGUGCCUCAGACCUAGCAAGUGCAAAUAUGAAGAGCAAUGACUCAAAUUGGACCAAGUUCGAAACGGAGAAAAUAAACAUCAACAUCAACAGUUCCUUCAUAUUUCCAAUUUCUUAUUAAUCUUAGAUACUAAAGGGUAAAUAAAGGCUACCUGAUUUCCUUGGAAGCCCAUCCCGAGAGAUUGGAUGCUUCUGUCAAUGCAUGCCUCCACUUCUGAACCUUUUCUGGCGUCUUCUUGAGGUGUUUCUCAUGCUUAGAGAAGGCAUCCCCGAAACUUCCAGUUUGCUUCCGUACGUCGGAUGGAUCUGCAUGGUAAAAAACAGGCACAACCAUUUGGCCAUUCAUUUGACGGCAUUCAAGAACUUUGACAAGUUCAUCCAAGCACCAUUUCGAAGAAGCGUAGUCCUUCGAGAAAAUGAUAACUGAAAUCUUUGAUGAUUCGAUUGCUCUCAAAAGGGCAGGCGAAAUCUCGUCUCCUCUCUUAAGUUGUUCAUCAUCAAUGAAGGCUUUAAUUUUCUUUCGAUACAAAGCAGCAUGAAGAUGGCUAGUAAAGUUAUCGCGGGUAUCCUCCCCUCUGAAACUGAGGAAGACAUCAUAAUUGCUAUGGGAAGUUAGACGAGAAGAAGAGGUGGAAGAAGAUGAAGCCAUAACGGAAGUUUUCUACUCUUUGGGACAGAAACAGAGUGCAAUAAAUAUGCAGCUGUGCAAGUGCAAGUGCAUGGAGCUUUCUUUUCUUAACUUGUUUUUAUUUUUUAUUUUUUUUAAACAUAUUGUUGACUUUCUGUCUCGGUUCCAGAAGGUUUCCUGUGACUUCUUGGAGCUUUCUUGGUACUCAUUGUGAAUACUUUUGGGUCGGCCUGCAAUACAUCGCUGUAUCUGGUACAGCCAAUUUUUAUUAUUUUUUUAAUUAAUUUUAUAACCGGCCACCGGUUAUCUCUUAUUUUAAUCGAUUAGUGUGAAAAAAUUAAAUGUAAAUAUCAUACAGCUACCGUUAUUUUAAGUAUAUAACAAGAUUAUCAAUUUAAAUUAUAAAACUACCAAAUACUCCCUCAACUUUACAUGAAAAUAUAUUUAAAAAAUGAAACUUAUAUUUUUUUUCCUCAAAAUAUGUGACAUUACUACUGCAAAUAUUAUUGAAAUAUAAAUAAAUAAAUAUAAUUGUAAAUUAUUAAAUAUUUUUAUUACAUUUAUAAAUUUAGUAAUUUUUUGCAUAAAAAAUUAUCAUAAUAUUUUAUUAAUUUUCUAUAGGUCAAUGCAAUCUAAAUAUUUAGAUCACUAAUUAAUCAGAUUUAUUUUCAAAUAAUUGAAAGAAAUCAAUCCGAUAAUACAUAUAAAGUGAUUCAAACCUCUACCCACUAAUAUGAGAAUAAUAUUUGUCUAACUUUUGGAUAAUUAUCAAACAAGUAUCUUGUUUUUUUUAAUUAAUUAUCUUGUUAAUUAUACCAAACAUUAUAAUUAUCAAUCAAAUAUUAUUGUUUUUUAUUAUUAAUUUAUUACUAGUGGCCAAUAUUUUUAUAUGAUAUAUAUAGGCAGAUUUAAUGUAUCUCAAUCUCUUAUGCAAAUUAAUUCAUACAAACCUAUGUGAAAUUAAUUUAUUCUUUUAUACUGCGUUAUUUUGAUGGUUAUAUUGAUUCACUAUUUUCAAAUGAUAAUAUUUUCUUAAAUACUUAUAAUAGACAUGUCUAUACAUUAAUGGUGUGUUUAUUUGAGUAUUUAGGAAAUGAGAAUGAAGGAAUGAGAAUGAAACUCAUAUUUACUUAGUAAAAUGUAAUUUGAGAAUAGAAAUAAAAUGUGUGGGUCCACACAAUUUUGUAUCCUUAUAAUUUUUUCAUAUUUUCUAAAUUAUCCUCGUUCAAAGCACAAUUAAUUUUAUUAUUUUAAAUGUCAUUAUUAUUAUUAUUAUUAAAUUUUAUUAACUUUAUUAUUAAUUAUUGUUAUUAUUAUUUUUUAUUAAUAUUAUCAUUAUUAACAUUUAUUAUUAUUAAUUUUAUUUUUUAAUUAAUAUCAUUUUUAUAAUAAUAUUUAUACAAAUACAGUAUAACUUCUAUAAAUUAAUACUCGAUAAAUUAAUAAUCUUUAUAAUAUAAUAAUUUUUUGCAGUCCCGACUUAGGCCCUGAAGCUAAAUUAAUAAUUUUGAUAAAUUAAUAAGAUAAUUUUUCUGAGAACUCCUAUAUAACUCUAUGGUCACAUUUAUAUCAUAAAUUAAUAAUUGUAGAAAUUACAAAUACUGUGAAAUUACAAAUGUAACUGACUAUGUCAAUUUAUUAAAAUAUGAGUCUAUUGUAACUUGUUUUUUCUUGAAGUUUAAAUCUAGUUGAAUCUCAUCUUUAAUUUUUAACAAGUUACUAUGAAAUAAAAGAAUACUUUGUGUUUGUUUAUAUAGACAAUAAUUUUAACUUAGUUCAUUGAAUACAUUUAAUUUCUAAUUUAGUUCAUUGGAUAUAUGACUUAGCUAAAUUAUGUAAAUACAUGAAUACUCUUUAAUUAAGUAGAUAAGUAGUCAAAUUCAAUUGAUACAAUUUAAUGAAAUUACAUUUAUUUUAGUUCAUUGAAUACACUUAGAUAAAUUUAUGUAAAUACAAGAAUGUAGUUAAUCAAGUAGAUAGGUACAUUAGAUGAAUUAGUUCAAAUUCAAUUAAUACAAUUUAAUAACUAACAUUUAGUUUAGUUCAUUGAAUACAUUUAGAUAAAUUUAUGUAAAUACAUGAAUUUAGUUAAUCAAGUAGAUAGGUACAUUAGAUUAGUUUUAAUUCAAUUUAUACAAUUUAAUAACUAACAUUUAGUUUAGUUCAUUGAAUACAUUUAGUAAAAUUCAUGAAUUUAUUUAAUCAAGUAUACAUUAUUUAUUUGAUGAAUUUAUUUAAAUUCUAUUGAUUAUAUUUGUAAAAUACAAUGAGUUUUUAGUUAAUUAAAUGUUAGUUCUUUGUACUGUGAACACACUCUAUAAAUUAAUAAUUUAUUAAUUUAUAGAUUAAUUAAUAUCUCUCUAAAUUAAUAAAUUUAUAAGGUCCCGACAUUAUUAAUUUAUAGAGGUUAUAUUGUAUUUAGUUAAUGAAAAUUACAUUAUUUAAUAUUAUGGGUAUUUUGGUAAAUUGAUUCUCAUUUCCAUUUCUUAUUCCCAUUUAUUUUGCCAAAUAAACAGAUCAGUGACAUUCUAGCACAUUCACAUUCUCAUUUAUUUUUACUAAGUAAAUAUUAGAAUCUCAUUCUUAUUCCUCAUUCCUAUUCCAGUCUAUUCUUAUUCUCGACCUAUUUUCAUUCCCAACUCAUUCCCAUUCCACCCAAUUUCCAUUCCAUGAAGUAAACGCACCAUAAAUGUAAUGCUAAUUUUUUAUCUAUUGAAUUUAGUAGUAUCAAAAUUAAUGAUUUAUAAUAAAGCUUAUUUUUUAUGUUGUUAGUAACCAUUAUUACUUUGUUAGCCAAUAUUUAAAUUGAUUAAAAUGAACUCAACUGAGAUACUUGUUACCAAUAUUAGACAUUUAUUAUUAAAAUGUGUAUAUAAUCUGUAGUCCAUAUAUAUGCUUUAAGAAAUUUGUUUUGCAUAUUAAAUUUUUUGGCAAAAUCUAUUUAUGCAUAUUAAAUUUUUUCAAUUUAAGUAAAUCAUAUUUAUAAGUUAAAGUUUAUAUUAAAAAAUAUAAAACAAAAUCAGUUUUUCAUUAAAAAAUUAAAAAAAAUAUAAAUAGCCCCACCCUUGAACCCUAAUUUCUAGUUUCUACCUAACAAUCAAUUUUUUCAUUGCCGCUGCCGCUUCCUUCUGAUCUGGUUGGCUAACAACUUUAGCACUCGGAUCUUUUGGCAUAAAUGUGAGCUGCUGCUUCCUUCUUUCUUUGCUAUCGCUGUUGUUGCCACUUCGUUCUAAUCUGGUUGGCUAACAACUUUAGCACUCUGCAAAUUUCACUGUAUAUUUAUGCACACUACCGUAUUGUCCUAAAGUUUCGCUUUAAUUUUGAUUUUUAAUUUAUUACCUUAUUUUUUGGCAUUUUUGAUAUUUUAUAGCUAUUGUUGGAUAUUUUAGGUUGCUUGCAUGUUUAGAAAUUUAAAUUUUUUUGGGUUAAUUUUAUGAUUUUGAGUUAGGUUUUGAAGUACUGUUUCGGUAGUGAGAGAUGAUAUUUUUCUUCUUACUGUCAAUAUAUAUAAUUACGUGACUAGAUAUUAGAUUAUUGCUGCUUCGUUUUUAUUGGCACCAAUUAGCUGCUGAUUUUUAAGAUCAAUUUUAAUGGAUUCUUCAGUUUUGUUAUUAAAAAAUAAAUAAGCCUUUCAAUGGAGUUGCAUGUCUUUUUGCUUUGAUCUUUUGCAUAUUGUAUUGAGACAAAAGCUUCAUGUGAUUCUUUGUGAUUUUUUUUACUUAGAAGUCUCCAAUUCUGCAAUAUAUAAAGGACGUAUAAUCUUCACUGGCAUUGAAAGUUUUUGGGGGUCUCUUUCCUUUAGGUUAUUGCAAAAUGUCCACGUAUUUGUGCUAGCGGAGCAAGUGGUUUGGUUGGUUCUUUUGGAUGCUCUUCAUUUCUUGCACUUUUUUUUUUUGGAACAAGAAUUUGGGUAUUAUGCAGUUCCAAAUUCGAGAAAUCUUUGAAUUUCAGCAUUUUUCCCCCCUUUAUCAUAGCCAGGUUCACCACAUCAUUUUAAGCUACUUGAUCUUGCUCAACUGAUUAUUAGAGAUUGUUGGUGCAUAUUCCUGAGGUAGCACUUUCGAAUUAAUUCCCUUUUCCUACUUCUCAGCGAUUUUCAAAUUUAGAAUUAUAGUUUAUCUUGGACAUUUACUAGGAGAAUGGUGAUUAUUACAUGAAAAGUGACAAGAAUAGACAAGCAGUAAAAAAUAUUUGGGACGUCUGAUUGGUACAUUUUCUUUUUCUUGGGAAUUUUGAUGUUAUGACAAGAUCUCUGCAUGUUAUGUUUUAAGAACAACUUGCUUUUUAUUUUUAACUAUUAAAGCUGUUAUGGCCUACAAAUGCUGUAAAACUUGACACUUCUAUUAUUAUAAACACGUUUCAUUACAAUUCUAUUGUAAUUAAACUUUCUUUUCUUCUCUUUUUGGCACUUUUGUAAUGGGGCUAGUUUGCAGAGCAGACAAAUGAAAAGCACAAUGACUGUCUUUGUUUCCUUCUGGCUUUAUGUCAGCAUAGCAGGCUUGCAACUCUCUACAGUAAGCAUGUUCUGUUUAUUUUUUUCACUAAAUCAAUAAAAUAUUUUUAUUAUAAGAUUAAUUUUAAGAAAAAAUAUGUUUUUGUGAUUGUAAUUGUGUGAUUGAUUAAAGAUUGUAUGUUUUGGAUUUGAUCUCAUGGAUUUAGAGUUGGAUUAUGUUUGGAAUUGGAAUAAUGUGUUCAUGCACAUAUGAUGUUUGAUGAAGUUCGCAUAAGAUUGAUUCAAUUAUUUAAGUUUUUGAUGCUGAAUUAAGUGGACCAAAAAAUUUUAUCAAUGGAUUGAUUUCUGUUAUGCAGUUGCUGUUUUUACUGCUAUUUUUGCAGAAACACAGCACCUCAAAGUUUUUAGGCGCUGCUUAGCAGCUGUUAUAUAGUAAAAACAACAUUUGGAACUUCCAGGUGUUGUUUUUGCUGCUGUUUAUGUAGAAACAAAGCUCCUGAAAGUAUUAGUGUUGCUUAAUUGUUGUUUGACUUCCAAGUGCUGUUUAACUACUGUUAUGCAAUAAAAACUUGACCUGGAAGUUUUUGGGUGCUGUUUUACUGUGGUUUAUGUAGGAAAACAGCACCUGGAAACUUUCAGGUGCAGUUUAGCCGCUGUUUAUGUAGAAAAACGGCACCUGGAAGUUUGUAGGUGACAUUUUACUACUGUUUAUAAAGAAAAACAGUACCUGAAAGUUUUCUAGUGCUGUUUAGCUGUUGUUAUAUGGCAAAAACAACACCUUGAACUUUUCAAGGGUUGUUCUACUACUGUUUUUGUAAUUGAAACUGCACUUGAAAAUUUUAGAUGCUGUUUUACUGUAAUUUUGCUGCUAAAAGUGCACCUGAAAAGUUCCAGGUGCUGUUCGGAUGCUGUUUUGAAUCUUCUUUAGUUCUUUUUUUUUAUGUCUAUACUUCAUCUUUUUUUUUUCUUUGGUAAUUGUUGAGUGUUAGAAAAUGCAUAUUUAUAAAGGAGAAAACCGUCAUUUUACAUUUCAAGUCUUACUAACAACCCUUACUUUUAUGUAUUUAACCUUCUUGUGAUUUAAUUACAUGUGUUUUAUUUUAAUUAAGUAUUUUAUGUAUUUUAGGGGCAUUAUAGUCAUUUCACAAUAAAGGAGAGAUCAGACGGCAAAACGGAUAUCACUUUUGAACUUAGGACGGUCGAAAACCUUAGGAUGAGCAUAAAAGGAAAAAUGGCACUAUUCAUAUGUACGGUACUAUUCACAUGUACGGUACUAACUACGUUACUGUUCACAACACUGUUCACAUAGACGGAUCGAUGACGUGGCAUUGACCGAUGAUGUGGCAUUGACUGAUGAGGUGUCACGAUCCUGUUGGGCUAAAAUUCUUAUGUACUGUUGAUGGUGACGUGGCAGCAUAUCAGUGGAUGAAAAAUCUCGCGUACGGUACAUGCAUCACACAGGAUUAUUUUCAACCAAACCGCGUUACUGUUCAUCCGAGGCAAACCGCGUUACUGUUCAUCCGAGUCAAACUGUGUUACUGUUCAUCCGCGUGGUCAAACCGUGGACUGUUGACUGAUGACGUGGCGCAAUCCUGAGCGUCCAAACUGUUUUUAAUCCGAUGGCCAUGAUUUACUCCAUGUAUCUAUAAAAAGGGGGCCUCCCCCCCUAAUUUGAUAUCUCUGAAUCCAUUUUAGGGAUCCAUUUUCUGUAAUUCCCUCUUCAUCUUGUAUUUUCUUCGUAUUUUAAUAAAUUCCCAUUUUACCCCUAGUUCAAUUAUGAGUGGCUAAUUUUCUUUCAAGCUUGGGUUGAAGGUGAAGUCUCAACAUGUGUCAUGGGCUUUAUUUGGUAAAUUUAUUUUCUUUUCCCCUCUAGUUUUUGUGGAUGAUUUGACUUAUCGUCGACAAAUAAUAAUAAUCUUGUCUAGAUACCGCCUUGGUUACACCGGCUCUCUAGUAUAAGGUUAUUAUUAUUUGGCACGAUAAGCCCUUAGCACCAUAUUGAUUAGAGCGUGGUUCAUGAGGUGUGGAUUCCCCCCUCAUGAUUUAAUUGGCAUUAAUACGGAUUAUUUAGCCCAUGAUGCAUGUUGAUACGGAUCCAGAUACCCAAGUACGUUAUUUCAAUAGAUUUCUCUUCAAUUUAUUAUCGCCAUUGCAAUUCCAAUUUUAGGAUAAUUUAAAUCACUUCCACCACAAUUCCAACCACCCAUUUACAAAAUUAAUUCUACAUAUAAUUAAAAUCCACCUCCUCGUGGGAUCGACACUCGUCACCAUUAGUCUAUACUACAAUAGAUUCGUGCGCUUGCGAGUACAUUAAAAUUUGCACAACAAGUUUUUGGCGCCGUUGCCGGGGAGGUAAGUAGUUUUAAUUCAUAGAAUUAAUUUUUGUGAAUAAUUUCUUUUAUUUGUUUUCUUGUAUUUUUUUUUUAUUAUUAAAAAAAAAAAGAAAAAAAAAGUGAAUCUACAUUUAAAGGUUAGUAUUUCUUUUCUUUUUCUCUUCUUUAAAAUUCUGUAAUUUAAUUUUCAAUUUAUUUUUUUCUUUGUAAUUUUUGUUUAUUUAUUAAUUUAAUUUUUAGUUAAUUUAUUUCACGUAUUUGUUUUUGUGUAUUUUUAUAGAAAAGUUGUAACAGUGCAAUAAGGUUAGUAUCGUAAUUUCUCCCUCUUCUUUAUUUUUAUUUGUUUUGUUCCCAUCUUUAUUUUUAUUUUAUUUGUUUUGCAUGCAUGGUCGUAGGUCAUUAUUACCUAAUCUUGAACCUAUAGACCUUGAACUUGAGAAAACACUUCGCACACACAAACAAAUUAAAAAUAAAAUGGAUUUGCAACCACAGGAGAGGCCAUUUAAGGACUACUUCAGUCCUUUAGCUAAUUUGAGCACAUCAUGCAUAAGAUACCCAAAUGUAGCUGCUAGGAGCUUUGAACUAAAACCUAGUGUGCUAAAUUGUCUCCCCACAUUUUAUGGCCUAGAAAAUGAGGACCCAUAUAAUCAUCUGAAUGAUUUUCAUGCUAUUUGUCAAACUUUUAAAUACGAGAAUUUUUCAGACGAUGAUGUUAAACUUAGAUUAUUCCCAUUUUCUUUAAAGGAUAGAGCUCGUUCAUGGUUAAAUACUUUACCUGCUAAUAGCAUCACAUCAUGGGAACAAAUGGUAACUAAAUUUUUGAAUAAAUAUUUCCCAGUGCAUAAAACCAAUUUUAUUCGCAGGGAAAUUUCAGAGUUUACACAAAGAGAGGACGAGCAGUUUUUCGAAACUUGGGAGCGAUUCAAUGGGCUACUCUUGAAGUGUCCACAUCAUGGGUACGAAAAAUGGCACCAAUGCCAAUACUUUUUGGAGGGAUUAUUGCCGAAUGUGCAAGAAUGGCUAAUGGCAACAAGUGGAGGAGAGUUAAUGUCAAAAAGUGCAUCAGAGAUUUGGGAAUUCUUCCAGCGACAAGCGGAUAAUUCCCAACAACGGAGUCGAUCACUCAGGAAUACUAGAAGAAUUAAAGGAGUGAAUGAGGUUCAAAUUGGCGAGUCAAAUUCAGAAAUCAAAGAAGUCAAAGCAAUAAUAGAAGGUCUCUCUCGACAAAUAGCAUCGUUAUCGACUGCUAAAUCAACAGAACCACAUGACCAUGACUCAUACUCGGAUCAAGCCAAUGCCAUAGGUGUAAUGAGAAAGCCAUCUAAUUACAACCCAUACUCCAACACAUAUAACCCUGGAUGGAGAGACCACCCCAAUUUUUCAUGGUCUCAAGGAUUCCAACAGAAUGGACCAGCAGCUCCAGCUCCACCAAUGCAACCAAUUCCGCAAAUUCCUCAAGCCUCUCAGCUCCCAUUUAGACCAUUCAAUAAGAACCAGAACUACUCUCAACCCAGACCAUGGGAGGAUUCAUUCCAGAAUCUAAAGAAUCUUACUCACUCCACGAUUGAGCAACAAAACCGCACCAUUGAUGGACUACGAAAUGAGUUGAGAGCGGGCUUCAACUCACAAGCCCAAUCAGUUUCAAGCCUCGAGAAGAUGGUAGGACAACUUGCUUCUUCAGUUCAAACCUUGGCAAUGACUGUUGAGAAAGGCAAAUUUCCAAGUCAACCAGUGCCUAAUCCUAAAGGAGUACAUGAAGCAAGUACUAGUUCACCACAGCAGCAUGGAGAGGUCAAAGCAAUUAUGACCUUGCGAAAAGGAAAGGAAGUCGACAACAAAGUGGAGAUGCCUGUGACAAAAGAAAAUCAAAUUGUACCUGUGAAUGUUGAAGACUCAUCACCGGAGGAGAAAGAAGAAACCAACCCACGAGAAUACGUUCCCAAAGCUCCAUUUCCUCAGAGGUUAGCUAAAGGAAAAAAGGGAAAAUCCACAGGUGAGAUUCUCGAAAUCUUCAAACAGGUAAGUGUUAACAUCCCUUUACUUGAUGCUAUAAAGCAAGUUCCAUCUUAUGCCAAGUUUCUUAAAGACCUUUGUACUAAAAAGAGAAAUAUGCAUGUUCAAAAGAAGGCAUUUUUAACAGAAAACGUUAGUUCUAUACUCCAACAUAAAAUUCCUUUAAAAUGCAAAGACCCAGGCUCCCCCACUAUUUCAUGUAGCAUAGGGAACCACACAAUUGAGAAUGCUUUGUUGGAUUUAGGAGCUAGUGUAAAUUUGUUGCCUUACUCUGUUUUCGUGAAACUUGGACUUGGAGAAUUACACCCAACUCCAGUGGUGUUACAACUUGCAGAUCGGUCCACAAAAAUACCUCGUGGUAUUGUGGAGGACGUGCUUAUCCAGGUAGACAAGUUUUAUUUUCCUGUUGAUUUCAUUGUAAUUGACACUCAACCAAUACAUGACUCAAGGAAGCACAUCCCCAUUAUUCUAGGCCGACCUUUCUUGGCAACUGCAGAUGCUCAUAUUCAAUGUAGGACCGGAAAUAUGCAAUUGUCCUUCGGCAACAUGACUAUGGAGCUAAAUAUUUUCAACAUUGCCAAACAACCUCACAGUGCAGAUGAUGGAAUUGUUGAUGUGGAUUUAAUAGAAACAAUAGUUGAUAAUACUUUUCUUUCAAACCUUAGUGAUGAUCCUUUACAAACAUGUUUAACUCACUUUGGUUUGGAUUUUGAUAUUGACAGAUCGGUUGAUGAGGUCAACGCUCUACUUGACUUAGCACCAUCCAUGGACACUAAUAAAUGGAAGUCAAGAGUUGAACAACUAGCACCAUCAGAGAAGAAACUCAUUCCAUUAUCAGAAUCACCACCGAAACUCGAGCUCAAACCAUUGCCCAACACAUUGGAAUAUGCAUUUUUAGGAGAAGAAAGUACUUUGCCGGUAAUCAUCUCAUCAUCUCUCAAUGACGAACAAAAAAGUAAGUUGUUGGAUGUUUUAAAAGAGCACAAAGGAGCAUUAGGAUGGACCAUAGCAGACAUAAAAGGUAUAAACCCAGUAGACUGCAUGCAUUACAUUCACCUUGAUGAAAGUGCUAAAUCUACUAGGGAAAUGCAACGUCGGUUAAAUCCUAAUAUGAAAGAAGUUGUUAGAACAGAAGUCCUUAAGCUAUUAGACGCAGGUAUCAUUUACCCAAUUUCUGAUAGUUCAUGGGUCAGUCCUGUACAAGUUGUCCCCAAAAAGUCAGGAGUCACAGUAGUUACCAAUGCUGAUAAUGAAUUGAUACCAACUAGAGUAACUACAGGAUGGCGUGUAUGCAUUGAUUAUAGAAAGUUGAAUUCUGUCACACGUAAAGACCAUUUUCCUUUACCAUUUAUUGAUCAAAUGCUUGAUAGAUUAGCAGGCCAUGAAUUUUAUUGCUUUCUAGAUGGCUACUCAGGAUAUAAUCAGAUUCCCAUAGCACCAAAAGAUCAGGAGAAAACUACUUUCACUUGCCCUUUUGGCACAUUUGCAUAUAGGAGAAUGCCAUUUGGAUUAUGUAAUGCACCUGCUACAUUUCAACGAUGCAUGUUGAGCAUUUUUUCUGAUAUGGUUGAACGAUUCCUUGAAGUCUUUAUGGAUGAUUUUUCUGUCUUUGGUGACUCGUUUGAUCAAUGUUUACAUCAUCUAACGCUAGUUCUGCAGAGAUGUAUCGAGAAGAACUUGGUCUUAAAUUGGGAGAAAUGUCAUUUUAUGGUAAAACAAGGUAUUGUUCUCGGUCACAUCAUUUCGAGCAAAGGUAUUGAGGUUGACAAAGCCAAGGUGGAUCUCAUUUCUAAUCUUCCUCCACCCAAAACAGUUAGAGAAGUAAGAUCUUUCCUUGGGCAUGCUGGUUUUUAUAGACGUUUCAUUAAAGAUUUUAGCAAAGUUUCUAGACCCUUAUGCAAUCUACUUGCUAAGGAUGUACCUUUUGUCUUUAAUGAUUCAUGUCUUGUUGCGUUUGAAAAAUUAAAGCAUUUGUUGACAUCAUCACCCAUCAUUCAGGCCCCGAACUGGAGCUUACCAUUUGAACUCAUGUGUGAUGCAUCUGAUUAUGCAGUAGGAGCAGUUUUAGGACAAAGAGUUGAUCGAAUUCCUCAUGUUAUUUACUAUGCUAGUAUGACAUUGAAUGAUGCACAGUUGAACUAUUCAACUACUGAAAAAGAAAUGCUAGCAGUAGUGUUUGCAUUGGAAAAAUUUCGAUCUUAUCUCAUUAGUUGUAAAAUAAUUAUAUUCACAGAUCAUGCUGCUCUUAAAUAUCUUCUCACAAAGAAAGAUGCAAAAGCUAGACUAAUUCGUUGGGUAUUACUUUUGCAGGAAUUUGACUUGGAAUUCAAGGAUAAGAAAGGCACAGAAAAUGUUGUGGCGGACCACCUCUCUCGUCUCCAUUUUGACACAAUUACAGAGCCAUUAAUAUUGAAUGAGUCAUUUCCAGAUGAACAAUUAAUGAAUGUGGAAGUAUUACCUUGGUGUCAACGAAUGGGGAGCAUUACACGAAGGAACAUGAUGCCAUUAAAUCCAAUUUUAGUGGUUGAAAUUUUUGACGUAUGGGGUAUCGACUUCAUGGGACCCUUUCCCCCAUCUUUUGGCCAUCAAUACAUAUUGGUUGCUGUUGACUACGUAUCAAAAUGGGUAGAAGCAAUUCCAUGUAGGACCAAUGAUCACAAGGUGGUGAUAGCAUUUUUGAAAAGUAACAUUGUUUCACGCUUUGGAUUCCCUCGAGCAAUAAUUAGUGAUGGUGGUGCCCACUUUUGCAACAAAGCAUUCAAAGCUCUUUUGACAAAGUAUUCAAUCACACACAAAGUGGCGACCCCGUAUCAUCCGCAAACCAGUGGCCAAGUUGAGAUCUCCAAUCGAGAAAUAAAGCACAUAUUAGAAAAGACGGUGAGGCCAGACAGAAAAGAUUGGUCAUUAAGACUUGAUGAUGCAUUAUGGGCAUAUAGAACGGCUUUCAAGACCCCGAUUGGGAUGUCACCCUAUAGGCUAGUGUAUGGAAAAGCUUGCCACCUACCUGUGGAACUCGAGCAUCGUGCAUAUUGGGCCAUCAAGAAAUUCAACUUUGACAUGCAGCAAGCCAGCUCAGAAAGAAGAUUACAACUGGCAGAACUUGAAGAAAUUCGCAAUGAUGCAUACGAAAAUGCCAAAAUUUACAAGCAACGAAUGAAAGUCUUUCAUGACAAGCACAUUAUGAGAAAAUCUUUCACUCCAGGUCAGAAAGUGCUUUUAUUCAAUUCUCGCUUGCACCUAUUCCCAGGUAAGUUACGCUCUCGAUGGUCUGGUCCCUUUAUUGUUUAUACUGUUUUUCCACAUGGGGCAAUUGAAAUUAAAGACCCAAAGAACGGUGUCACGUUUAAAGUUAAUGGUCAAAGAUUAAAGCCAUAUCUAGAGUACCAACCACAUGGAGAAGACACCGAAAUAAAUUUGAGUGACCCACCAGAUUUGAAUUGAUUUUUUUUCUUUCCGUUGAUUUGAUUUUGUUUUCUUUCUUUAUAUUAUUCUUUUGCUAAUUGAAAUUAUUUUUGCAUAAGUGUGUUUGUUUAACUAUUAAGUUUUCUCUUAUCAUUUUUAAUCAUGAGUACCUUACUUAGACCGUUCCUCCUGAACAUUCUUAAACCAUUUCAACGUGUCAAAACUCAUCUCAAAAAGCAGAUUCAAUUUUGUAAAACACAACGCAUUUGGGCUCUACAACCACCAGAGUUAGUAGCCUAUGUUGAGGGUUUAGAACGCCAACUCAGAGACAUUGAGAGAAGUGUUUACGACAUCCAGUUGGAGCUUGAGGUAAAUUCAAUAAGAGGACGAUUUUAAUUUUCUUUGUGUGUUUUAAUUUGUUUUUCUAUUUGUGUGCUUUAGUUUGUUACCCCGGUGAAGUGGCGGAUAACGGUACUCCGUGACAAUCAAGUCGGUUAACUUCAGUUUCCCAUAAUAACUGAUAUUCUGAGGCGAAGGUAUGCAUAGAAACGAGAUUUUAGCAAAGCUUCACAAGCGAUUCCCUUCACUUCCUCAGAAUGCCCUCUUUACAAUCUAUAAAGCCCGGUCUGAACGCAUGCGAUUGCUCAUGAGGAAUAACAUACCUGCAGACAUCCGUUGGUUAAUCGAGGCUAAAGUACGAUUGGCAGGUGAGUUACCUCUUAAAUUUAUUGCAUACAUGCCUGGUUGUGGUAAAGGAAAUUACGCAAGAAAACGACGAGCUCGAAGAAUUUCUGUUGCUUGUCAUAAGUGUGCCAGAAUGAGUUGCGAUGAAAACCCAUGUUCUUUAGGAAUGGUGUCUGAUAACAGGGAAGAUAAGAUUCAAUUCAUUAGGGAUGGCUUGAAUAAGGAGUCAUUGGAUGAUAUUCUUUUGUCUCUUGAAACGCAUCCCAGUGGAUAUGUGCAAGGAGCGAUUCUCCAGUUAUGGCCAUUAUUCCAGAAAGAGCAUACAUGAUAUAGUCUCGGGAAUCUGACUAUAAACGACCCUGUUUGCCAGUUUAUAAGAAAACUGGACGGGAAGCCUAUCCUCGACCCAUAGAGGGCGUUCAAGCCGUUUCUGGACGUAAAACCAGAGGAAGAUGUGAGCCACAGUCGCAACUACGCGUAAAUAUCCUUUUACUUUCUGUUAUUUUAUUUCACUAUUGUUUUAUCGUUUGCAUUAUUGCCUUUAAUAAUUUUAUUACUGUUUGCUUUGUCCUUUUUACUGUUUCCUUUUUGACUCGCGAGCCACGUGCUUUACGCGUUAUUUGACACUGACAUGCCACCCCAUACACAGUUGUGACCCACUGUCACCAAGAUUCUUAAAUGUGAUUUAUCUUUUGUCAAGCACUCACAAAUUGUUUUUGAGAAGUAUCACAAUGGCAGCUACUCCCAAUAGACAAUUCAAGAACAUUUGUGUGCUUUCUGGAUUUACCUAUGGCAAACAUAAAGAGUUCGUGGAGGCAGCCAUAGAUCUUGGUCGAAGUAUAGCAGCGAGAAAAUUACACUUGGUGUAUGGAGGAGGUAACCGAGGAUUAUCAAAAAUGGUCUCAGAAGCAGCUUUUAUCAGAGGAAGUCAAGUGUUAGGCAUCAUCCCAAGAGUCCUAAAACCAUUGGGCAGUUCGUCUGACUCAUCAACUAGAGAAGAGUUAGUCGUCUUAGGUAUGCAAGAAAGAAUAACUGAAAUGCUUAAUCAUGCUGAUGCUUUUAUUUUCCUUCCAGGAGAUCUUGCAACACUAGAGGCACUUAUCACACUAGCAUCUUGGGCCCAUCUGCACAUCCACCAGAAACCCAUCGGUUUGUUAAAUGUCAAUAACUUUUAUGAUGGCUUUAUCGCAUUUCUUAACCAUGCAAUAAAAAACUAUUUCAUUCCUUCUAAUGUGAAAAAACUCUUUAUUUGUGCUCACACUGCUAAUGAGCUACUUGAUAUGUUACAAGCUUAUAAACCGGAGCCAGACCCCUGGAGCUUUGUGUUGGAGCAUCCACAUAAUGAUGGUAACAGUAGCCGCAGUAAGAAGUACAAAUUAGAUUUAACUCUCUGCUUGUAAAUAUUGUUUUCUGUGUUGCACCACCCAGGUGAUGUCUUCUAAACUCUACUUCUUUCAUUUCAAACAUUGAGGACAAUGUUUCGUUCUGGUUGGGGGGAGGGAAUAGUCGACAAUUGUGGAAUCUUGGUUAAGUUUUUACUGAUUUUUUGUUGUAGAAACUAACUGUUGCUAACGUUUUGUGUUGAAGAUGGCUGAAUAUGGAGUGUAGUUACUCUAGAAACACAUCUUCAUCGUUUAAAAAAAAAAAUAAAUAAAAAAAAAAAAAACCGUUUUCUUCCUCUUUCUCCUUUAUAAAUAUACAUUUUCCAACUUUUGAGUCGAAGAUGGCUGAAUAUGGAGUGUAGUUCCUCUAGAAACGCAUCUUUUUUAAAAAAAAAAAAUCAUUUUCGUUUUCUAUCAUUUUACGUGUAACUUUUCUAAUUAGUUUUUAUGCAUCAUUUUCACAUUUCUGCAUGCAUAUUUUCCUUUCAUGUUUAGAAUAGGUUGGGGGGUAGAAUGUUGUUAAAAAAAAAAAAAAAAUUUUGUGAUUUGUUUUAACAUUGGAUGACAUGAUUAAUUUCAAAUUUUAGUAUUUGUAUUAUCUUUGGUCUUAAGUGAUGUUACGCUAUGUUUGCUACUUUACAUGUUGAUGUCGGAGACAAAUGUGAGUUGCUUGAAGGAAUGAACAUGUCAUAAUAAGUACCAAGUGAGUUUUUGAGCCUAUUAUUUUUCUUGGAGAAUAACCCUUUUGCCCACUCUUUAUACAGCUUAGCAGUUUAUUAUUUUACACACGAUCUCUAAAUUGCUUUUGAGUUAACCCUUAAAAAAAAUUGUAAAAUAAAAAAAGAAAAAAGAAAAAAGAGUGUGUUGCUACAUUUGGAGGCCCAUCUAACUAGUAGAUAUGGAAGAUUAUUUAGAGCCCUAAAAGACGAUGGAAAGGCCAUCUUUGAUCCGUUUGAGCCUUUCUAGCCAUCCCUUUUAUCAAAUAUCCAUAGUUAACCCUUUUGAGCUUUUAAAAAAAAAAAAAAAAAAACCUUUUUCUUUGUCAACUUAUCAUCUUGACCCACUCCGAUUUGGAGUAUUACCCAAUGUCUUAUAAGUUCCAUCACCUAUUUAUGUUUGAGAAAAUGUAAAUAAUUAUGUUGUUCAGUAAAGUUAUGCAAAAAAAAAAACAAAAAAAACAAAAAAAACAAAAAAAAAAAACAAAACAAAAGUUGUUGUUUCAAAUGAAAAAAAAAGUUGUUGUUUCAAAAGAAAAUAAAAAUAAAAAUAAUAGGUGAAAUCCACCUUGCAACUUCCAAAAAAAAAUAUUCUUUGCAUUUUUCUCAAACAUACAUUUUGUUUUCCUUAUUUUCCUUCUUCGUUAGCCAUGUCCCUAGCCUACGUUACGUCCUAAUAAAAGUCCUUCUUGAUUUUAGGGAACUAUAGUUUGAAGUAGAAGCUAGUUAUAUGGGCUGAAAAGAUGUAGUGAUGCAUAAUAAUAAAAAAAAAAAGAUAAAUAAAGUGGGUUGACUAGCAUUUUUGUUUGACUUGAGUUCGUAUUAUUUAUAAGCUGAGGGCAUAUUUAUUUCAUCUUGGUGAGAGCAUGUGAUAUCACUUAUUUAUUAUUUUCUCUCUCAAUUACCAUUCAUUGGAGUGACUAUUUUUAUUGGUUUUAAUUUCUUUGUGAGAGUGUCACUACUUCCAGUGAGAUUUUGGGGUUUGACAUGUCAUUCUUGAAAGUAGCUAUGACAAAGUAUACUUGGCUGAUUCAUGUGGAUGGUUGAUGUGGGUGUGAUGUUGCUUUAGACUGGAGAUAAUGCUUAUACUUUUAUUUGAUUGCUAUCAUUAAUCUGACGGAAUAAAUACGAGUGUUUCUAUUAAAAAUAUAUAUAUAUAUAUAUUUUAAAUUUGAAUUUUGUUUUCGCUUUAUUUGCUAGGGACUAGCAAUAAGCUGGUUGGGGAGUGUGUUGAGUGUUAGAAAAUGCAUAUUUAUAAAGGAGAAAACCGUCAUUUUACAUUUCAAGUCUUACUAACAACCCUUACUUUUAUGUAUUUAACCUUCUUGUGAUUUAAUUACAUGUGUUUUAUUUUAAUUAAGUAUUUUAUGUAUUUUAGGGGCAUUAUAGUCAUUUCACAAUAAAGGAGAGAUCAGACGGCAAAACAGACAUCACUUUUGAACUUAGGACGGUCGAAAACCUUAGGAUGAGCAUAAAAGGAAAAAUGGCACUAUUCAUAUGUACGGUACUAUUCACAUGUACGGUACUAACUACGUUACUGUUCACAACACUGUUCACAUAGACGGAUCGAUGACGUGGCAUUGACCGAUGAUGUGGCAUUGACUGAUGAGGUGUCACGAUCCUGUUGGGCUAAAAUUCUUAUGUACUGUUGAUGGUGACGUGGCAGCAUAUCAGUGGAUGAAAAAUCUCGCGUACAGUACAUGCAUCACACAGGAUUAUUUUCAACCAAACCGCGUUACUGUUCAUCCGAGGCAAACCGCGUUACUGUUCAUCCGAGUCAAACCGUAUUACUGUUCAUCCGCGUGGUCAAACCGUGGACUGUUGACUGAUGACGUGGCGCAAUCCUGAGCGUCCAAACUGUUUUUAAUCCGAUGGCCAUGAUUUACUCCAUGUAUCUAUAAAAAGGGGGCCUCCCCCCCCUAGUUUGAUAUCUCUGAAUCCAUUUUUGGGAUCCAUUUUCUGUAAUUCCCUCUUCAUCUUGUAUUUUCUUCGUAUUUUAAUAAAUUCUCAUUUUACCCCUAGUUCAAUUAUGAGUGGCUAAUUUUCUUUCAAGCUUGGGUUGAAGGUGAAGUCUCAACAUGUGUCAUGAGCUUUAUUUGGUAAAUUUAUUUUCUUUUCCCCUCUAGUUUUUGUGGAUGAUUUGACUUAUCGUCGACAAAUAAUAAUAAUCUUGUCUAGAUACCGCCUUGGUUACACCGGCUCUCUAGUAUAAGGUUAUUAUUAUUUGGCACGAUAAGCCCUUAGCACCAUAUUGAUUAGAGCGUGGUUCAUGAGGUGUGGAUUCCCCCCUCAUGAUUUAAUUGGCAUUAAUACGGAUUAUUUAGCCCAUGAUGCAUGUUGAUACGGAUCCAGAUACCCAAGUACGUUAUUUCAAUAGAUUUCUCUUCAAGUUAUUAUCGCCAUUGCAAUUCCAAUUUUAGGAUAAUUUAAAUCACUUCCACCACAAUUCCAACCACCCAUUUACAAAAUUAAUUCUACAUAUAAUUAAAAUCCACCUCCUAGUGGGAUCGACACUCGUCACCAUUAGUCUAUACUACAAUAGAUUCGUGCGCUUGCGAGUACAUUAAAAUUUGCACAACAGUAAUAUGCAGGUACAAUUUUUGCAAGGUAGUAUCCAAGCAUGCAGUUAUUUUUUUUUUAUUAAGAGGUAGUAAUUUAAACUUUAGGCCUCAUUUUUUUCAUUUUCGAGUGUAUGAUGGAUAGGUAUUGGAUGUCAUAUGAAUGAUGUAGCUAAAUGCUUUUUGGUUGUCUCUAUUUUGGAAAAUGUAGUGUCAUUUAUUAUGAAAUAGUUAUUUUAUAUUUUGAAACUGCCUAAUUAAUAUAUUCCUCACUUUAUUGUUUUAUGGAACAGAGAGUUACACCCAAGGAGCGAUAGAUUUGGUUAGACGCGAGUGGGCUAUGUGCACAUGGAAACUUGCAGUUACAUUGUUACCUGAUUGAUAAAUUUAAAAUUAGUCUAUAAAAUUAAUAGAGAUAUUCCUACUCUUUCAAAUGCAAUGGUAAUUAGUAAUCUAGUGAUUUAUUAGUGCUCUGGUUACCUGAACAGUGUAUUUGGAUGUAAUAAAUUAUGUCCAAAAUAAAUUAUAAAAGUUGUGGAAACUAUUAUAAACGAGUAAAGAAAUAGUAAAAUACAUCCAAAAUAAACAAGGUUUAGAUUUAGACUGUAUUUUACUUAUAAGAAUAAAUCUAUUUGCUGAUAAAUUUUUGCCAGUUAUUUUUAGGUGCUUAGUUUUACUCACGAAUGAAUCUAUAUGCUUACAAUUUUUGUCAGUUCUUUUUAGGUGCUUAGUUUCUUUUGCGUUUUUUGAUCUUUUCAUUAGGAUGCUAUUUCAUGAUGUAUAUUAUUCAUGCAAUCAUGAAUUUGUAUUGAAAUUUUAUUCUUAUUUAUUUCGAUGUAUUCUCUUCUAUCUUUAUCGCUGAGAUCAGUUUGUCGUUAAAUGAAAGUAGACAUAAAAGUUAUAAAGAAUGAGUACGCAAGUUGAGAAUAUUUUUUAUAUUCUAAAUAUUGCUGUUAAAAAAAAUUCAUCAAAAAAAUGUUAUAAUUAGAAUGUAGUUUUGUGUUUAUUUUAUAUUUAAGUUUCAAAUUUUCUGUUCAGAACAAUAUAUAUCUAAUCCUGCCUAAGAAUUUAGAUCAUGCAUUUGAAAUUUGAAUAUAUAUUUUUUUUUGGGGCCUUUUUUUCUAAUAUCAUUUGUUUUUUUCCCUUGUAUGCAGAGAUCCAUGAAAUCUAAAUCUCAAAUUAGUCACAUCUGAAGUUUAGCUUUUGGAAGCUAUAAAUUGAUUUAAUUUUGUAUUAGUUCUAUUGAUGUUAAAAAAUUUUCAAGAGCUAUUUUCUCGCAAACUUGUAAAAAGAAUUCUUAGCAGAAGUGGUUUUAGGCUCGUUUCCUUCUGCAAUUCUAACUUUUUAGUGGCCCUCACGUCAGUUCACUAUUGUCACAAAUUGUUUUAGUGAUAGAUGUUGUCAUUUGUGUAUUGGGAAUUUUUAUUUCAUUAAUUUUUAAGAGCAUCGGAUAAAUUAAUAGGACAUUAUAAUUUUAUUUGCAAAUAAAUGCCAACAAAUUUAAGAAUAAAAUACCAUUUGAUCUUGCUAAUUCUUGAUGUAUUGUUAUCUUUCUCUUCAUUCCAAAGAUCACUUGGUCGUUAAAUGAAAGUAGGCAUAAAAGUUGCAUCGAACAAUUAUGCAAGUAGAGAGUAAUUUUUAUAUUUUGAAUAUUGCUGUUAAUAAAUCCCUUAAAAAAUAUAUGUUAAAUGAAAAUAUAUUUUUGUGUUUAUUUUAGAUUAAAAGUCUGAAUUUUCUAUUGAAAACUAAAUUUAUUUGAUCCUAGCUAAGAAUUUGGAUCAUGCAUUUGAAAUUCUAAAUAUUGUUAUUUAUUUUACAGUUGCAUUGUGUUUUCUAAUGUCAUUUUUUUUCUUUUUUAUGUGUAGACACUUGAAAUCUAAAAUGAGCAGCAUCUGAAGUCUAGUUUGAGGAAGCUGUGCUGUAAAUUGAUUUAAUUUUAUGAAGCUAUUUGGUCACAAGCUUGUGAAAAAUUCUAAUUGUCUUAUUACAUCUGUUUAAAUGAAUGGAAAUUUUAGUUUACUUAAAUCUUUUGUGCAUCGCAAACAAUUAAUAGGGCAUUUAUUAUUUUAUUUGCAAAGGAAUGGCAACAAAUCAAGAAUACCUACCAUUCCAAUCAAGACAUGCUAAAUUCAUACCAAUAAAUGUUGUUAAAGUGUUAUAUUCUCUUAGUACCAAAUUAAGCUGUAAAAAACUUUUAAAAAUGAUUUUAGUCAAGUCAGAAAAAUUGAAGAACUGAUUCUGUAAUUGAAAACUUGACUUAAUAUAAUUUAUUUUUAAGAUAAAAAAGUAUACUUUGGUGUAACAUAUCGAAACAUCAAAAUUAAGUUCAAGAAAAAGAAAUCUAAUCAAGUUGAAAUGAUAGAAAAAAAUGAUAAGUGCAUAUUUUCCAUAUAUUUUGUUAUUAAUUUCUCCAUCUUUUUCUUGUUUUGAUAUUAAAUAUUCUAGUUAUUUUAGUUAAUUUUUAAUUGAAUAGGGAAUUAAUUAAUAUACAUAUUUUACCCUUUAUUAUAUAUUUGCUAGUUAUUUUUAUUUCUUAUUUUUAAUUAAUUGUACUAUUUUAUUGAAUAGGGAAUUAAUUGGAGAUUGUGGAUAAAAAGGGCAUGAAGAAGUUCAAAUUGAGAAGGAAUAAAGAUUAAAUUGAAAGACAAAAAUACAGUCAAGAAUUGAUAGAACCGAGUGGAAGAAAUCAAAGCAAUUAAUCCAAUUGAGAAAUGUUGAAUAAUUAAAAGAUUUAAUUUUUCCAAUUGGCAAUUGGAGUGCAAGUGCAUGGCAUUGCAAAAGUGGAAAGCAAUUUAAAUGGGCCCGCAAUUGACUUUCAAAAGUUGGAAUUAAUGGCUUUUGGUGGCGAUAAAUUGGAAAAGGAUUUCAAUUAGAAUUGAAAAAGGAUUUCUUUAGAAUUGUUGGAGAAGAAUUCGGUCAACUAGCAUUAUAAAAGGAGAGCCGCCAGAGAGCGAGAGAAAGGGAGGAGAAUCGGUAGCAAGAGGAUUUGAGGAACCAGCAGCCGCAAGAAGGAAAAGUAAGGGAGAAACCGAAAAAGAAUUGAAGAAAAAGGCAGCCGCUUGAAUUAAUCUCCAUGAUUGGUUUUGUCAAUUCUCUUAUUUCCAAUUCAAUUAUGUUAGGCUAGAUUUUUAUUUGGUUGAGGGUGAAUUCAAAACCCUAAACAUGCUAUGCAAUUAAUUUUUAAUUUCUAUCAUUCAAUUUAUUUAAUUGAGAUUGUUUAUGUUUUUCUAUAAUUAAUGUUUAUGAUUUUAUUCCCGUCUUGUUUGAGUGGCCAAUUAGAUAAGACUUGAAUAAAUUCUAUUACUAGAUUAAAAUUCUUGAUCCGUAAUUGUCUUGAGAUUUUAAUCAUAAGUAGCAAGUUGGAAUCAGUGAUUUCAAUUGGAGAACAUAACCUAGGUUAAAUAAUCCGAGCUUGUGUGUUUAUUGCCUAGAUCAACCUAAUAUCUUUCUCUGUUUAAUGCUUCCAUUAUCUUAAAUUUAAAGAGCUUGUUUUAAAUUAUUUAAUGGUUAGAGAUUAGGUAAAGAGCUUGUUUUGCCUAAUGACACACUAAGGAAAGAUUUAGACUAACAGAGCUUAUUGUUGUCUACGGUUGAUAGUUUCAAUAUAAAUUGAUGAUAGAAUUGAUAUAUUAUUUGCAUGUUUGGUGGUGGCGAAUGAUCAUUUAACCAAAGUUUUCAUCAUUAUUAUUUCUUUCUCCUUUAAUUAGAGUUUUUAUUAAAUUCUUGUUCGUAGUUUUAAUUUCUUUAUUUCUUACUAUUUAGUUAAAAAUUCAUACACCCCCUUUUUAUUUAUAAUUGUCAUUUUCUUUAGUUAGAUUAAUUUCUAUUAUUACUACUAUUAUUUUAUUUUAAAUCUUGCUUUAGAGUUGAUAAUAAAUAUAACUAGCAUAGUCUCUGUGGGAUCGAUCCUUACUCGCUCUGUACUAAUUAUUUAUAUUAGUGGUAAGGUUUUAAAUUUGGUGCACCUUAACGACACUACCAAAAAAUGAUGUUUUAAUACAAAUAAAUUAGCAUCAAUUUUAUUAAUUUAAAAUAUUUUGUAAGUUAUAACUUACGUUUGCCUUAACUUUUUAAAAGAUAAUUUUUUUUGAGAAGCAUAGCAAUUGGCUGCAUCCUUAUAUGGUAUUAUUGUUUAAGUUAUAACAAAUUAAGGAAAUUCUUUUAAAAGUAAAGAGAAAGAUGAAAAUAAAUUUAUAAGGUUAUUUUAAACGUAAAUAAUUAAAAUUAAUUAAAAUGGAGAACAGUGAUUCAAAAGAAUUAGAAUUUUUUAAUUUUUUAUUUUAAAUUAUCAUGAUCUAAAACUUGAAUUUAGACAUUUUUUAUUUGAAAUAGAAUUUUAUUUUUCAAAUUAUAAAUUUUUCAUAGCAAAAUGAGAAAUGAUAAAUGAACAAACGUUUGUGUAGAGGUCAAAAGGUCAAGUAUGGAUAAUCAAAUUAAUGAUUAAAAUAAUCUCUCAAAAUAAUGAAUAACGAUUUUUUUAAUCUUUUUUUCUCUUCCAAGUACAAACAAAACAUUUUUGCCAACCUUUAAAGCUUUGAUAUAACAUAUUAAUUUUCAUGGUUCACGGAAUAAUCGUAUAAUAAAUAUAUAAUUUAUUUGAUCAUAACAAUUUGAAAAAUAAAAUGUUUGAGGAGUAUAACAAUUGCAUGGAAAGUUGUUAAAAUGAAUUUUGGUUGAAGUCAAAGAAAUUAAUUAUUUGAAAAUAAAUAGAAUGACAACAAUUUUAAACGAACUGAUAAAAAAAUUAUUUUCCUAGAAGCUUGUAAAAAAUUCUUAUAUACAAAUGGAUGAAAAAUUUGAUUUGAUUAAUUUUUUAGUGCACUGGAUAACUUAACAGGGCAUGAUAAUUUCAUUUACAAUUGCAAUCAUUCUCAAUUGUUAUUUAUUUAUUUACAGUUGAAGUUAUGAAAAAUUAAAGCAUUUAGUUUGAGAAGUAAAGAGAAAGAUGGAAAUAAAUGCAUAAUUUAUUUUAAAUAUAACUAAAUACUAUUAAUUAAAAUGAUUAAAUGAUAAUAAAUAUGUAUAAAGAUUAAAAGCUUAAGCAUAUAUAAAUUCAAUUUCAGAAGAACUUAUGAAGUAACGAAGAUUAAAAAAAAAGGACUUAAAUUAAGGACCCAAAACGUUGAAAAUGAUAAAGGGUUGCAAUAAAAAAAAUUUCAGUAUUGUAUAGUAAAUUGAUAUUUGUUAAAAUAAUAAGGGGUUAUAGUGUUGGAAUAAUGAAAAUAAUAGGAACAUAAAACCAUUGUAAGGUGUGAAAGAGUAGGAAUAACUUAACCUAAAAGUGAGAAUAAUUUACUAAAAUGUUGAAAAAUUAUAACGGAAAGCAUGAAUUUAUGAAGUAAACUUGGAUCAUUAGCCAAAAUAUUGGAAUACACUUAAAAGAGUAAGAAUAUGUAACAAAAAAAUCUUGAAAAUAAAGUUGAAAUUGAUUAAAAGAAACUAGGAAUACAAAAAAUAAACUUGAAAUAUCUAAUCAAAAUAUUGGAAUUCAAUAUAAAGAGUGGGAAUAUAGAACCAAAAAAUGGUGGAAAAAGGAGUGGAAGAGCAGAACUUAAAAGUUGGAAUAACUUGAUAAGAGUUUGAUAAAUUCCAAUGAAAAGUAGAGAUCCGAAAGAUGAACUUGAAACAUUUAUCUAAAUGUUGGAAUUCAAUAAAAAGAGUAGGAAUAUAGUAUCGUGGAAAAAAGAGUUGAAGAGGUUAACACAAUAGUUGGAACAACUUACAAAGAAUUUGAUGAAUUCCAAUGAGAAGUAGAGAUCUUAAAAACGAACUUGAAAUAUUAACCCAGAAUAUUGGAAUUUAGUAAAAAAAAAAGUAGGAAUAUAUAACCAAAUCGUGGUGGUAAUAAUAGUUGAAGAACUUAACCCAAAAGUUGUAAGUAUCUACCAAUAAUCUGAUAAAUUCCAACCGUGUAUAGGGAUCUGAAAAAUAAACUUGAAACAUCCACAUAAAAUAUUAAAAUUCAAUUAAAAGAGUAGGAAUAUAAAACCAAUAUAUUGAGGAAAAUGAGUGGAAGUGCUUAACACAGAAAUUGAAACAACUUGACAAAAUUUUAAUAAAUUCUAAUGAAAAGUAGAGAACUAAAAAAUAAACUUGAAACAUUUACUCAAAUAUUGGAAUUCAAUAAAAUGAGUAGGAAUAUAAGACCAAAAUUUGGUAAGAAAAUAAGUUGAAAAUGUUGACCCAAAAGUUGGAACAACUUACAAAGAAUUUAAUAAAUUUUAAUGGAAAACAUAGAUAUGAAAACAGAACUUGAUAUAUUUAUCCAAAUGUUGGAAUUCAAUAAAAAGAACAGAAACAUAAAACCAAUAAAUGGUGAAAAAGAAGUGGAAAAGCAUAACCCAGAAGUUGGAACGACUUAACAAGAGUUUGAUAAAUUCCAAUAAAAAAUAGAGAUCUAAAAAAUAAACUUGAAACAUUCACCCAUAUGUUGGAAUUCAAUAAAAAGAGUGAAAAUAUCGAACCAAAAUUUGAUGGGAAUAAAAGUUGAAGAGGUUAACCCAAAGGUUGGAAGAAAUUACAAAAAAUUUGAUAAUUUUUAACGGAAAGUAGAGACCUAAAAAAUGAACUUGAUAUAUUUACCUAAAAUAUUGGAAUUCAAUAAAAAGAAUAGAAAUAUAAUACCAAAAAAUGGUGGAAAUAACAAUUGAAGAGUUUAACCCAAAAGUUGUAAGUACUUACCAAUAACUUGAUAAACUUCAACAAUAAAUAGAGAUUUAAAAAAUGAACUUGAAUCAUCUAUGUAAAAUAUUAGAAUUCAAUGAAAAGAGUAGGAAUAUAAAACCAAAAAGUGCUGGAAAAAAAUAGUUGAAGAGCUUAACCUAAAACUCGGAAAAAAUUACCAAAAAUAUGAUAAAUCCAACAACAAGUAGGGAUCAAAAAAUAAACUCAAAAUAUUCACAAAAAAUAUUAGAAUUAAGUAAAAAGAGUAGAAAUAUAGAACCAAAAAAUGGUGGAAACAAGAGUUGAAGAGCAUAACCUAAAAGUUUGAAGAACUUAACAAGAAUCUGAAAAUGUUUAACAAGUAGUCGAGAUCUAGAAAAUGAAUCUGAAAUAUCCAAGCAAAAUGUUAGAAUUCAAUGAAAAUAGUUGGAAUAUAGAACCAAAAAGUGGUGAAAAUAAGAGUGGAAGAAGUUAACCGAAAAAUUGAAAUAAAUUAACAAAAAUUUGAUAAAUUUAAACGCGAAGUAUGGAUCUAAAAAGUAAAUUUGAUACAUUUACCCAAAAUAUUAGAAUUGAAUAAAAAUAAUAGGAAUAUUGAACCAAAAGUAGUGGAAAAAUAAGUUGGAACCACUUAGCAAUAAUUAGAUAAAGUCUAAUUGAAUAUUGAGAUUAAAAAAUAAACUUGAAAUAUCAACCUGAAAACUAAAAAUUUAAUGAAAGAACUGAAAAUAUAGAACUAAUAACUGAUGGAAAAAUGAGUUGAAACAACUUACCAAGAAUUUGAUAAAUUCCAACGGAAAGUAGGGAUCUAGAAAUUGAACUUGAAAUAUCCAAACAAAAUUUUGGAGUUCAAUAAAAAGAGUAGGAAUAUAGAACUAAAAAGUGGUAGGAACAAAAGUUGAAAUAAUUUACCAAGAAUUUAAUAAAUUCUAAUGAGAAGUAAUGAUCUAAAAACUAAACUUGAUAUAUUUACCUAAAAUAUUGCAAUUCAAUAAAAAUAGUAGGAAUAUAGAACCAAAAAGUGGUAAAAAAAUAAAUCGGAACAAUUUACUAAAAAAUAGAUAAAGUUUAAUACAUUAUAGAGAUAUAAAAAUAACUUGAAAUAUACGCCUAAAAAGCUGAAAGUUAAUGAAAAGAGUGGAUGUAUGGAACCAAAAACUAGUGGAAAAACGAGUUGAAACAACGUACCAAAAUUUAGAUAAAUAACCACGAAAAAUAGGAAUUUAAAAAGUAAACUUGAAAUAUGCAUUAUAAAUAUUGGAAUGUGACAAAAUAAGUAGGAAUGUAACCAUUUUGUGACAUGUUUAUAUUUUUUAUAUUUUUUGUACUAUUUUUAAAUUUAAAAUUAUUACAAUCUUUUUUCUCAUUUAAUUACAAUUUUAUCCUUUUUUCCAAAUUUUUUCAUAAUUUUUUCACAUUAAAAACAAAUAAAAAUAUAAUUUUCAUUAUAUUAUCCGGUUAAAAACCGGUUGUACCGGUUGCAUGCAUGCGCUGUAUGAGAUACAGUGCUGCAUGGUAGGUUGGCAGCUCUGACUUUCUGUGGCCGAACAUCUAGAAACUAUAAAAGCAAUUUAUUAUAAAAUUAGAUGUUGAAGAUGCACCAAGAAUAAUGCAACUUCCUUUAAUUAAAAUUUAAGCCCUUGCAACCUUGCUAAAGAAUAAAUAUUUAGAAAAUUGAAGUUGAAAUCCUUUAAUAUUUUUUUUUUCUCUUUUGGUCCCCUUAAGAAUUUGGAGAAGACCGAAAAUAUCCUUCAAGACAUCAAAUUUUCCCAAUAAGGCAUGGAGAUGAGACAAAAAAACACGUGUUAAUUAUUUUAUUAUCUCACAGCCAUCGAAUAAAUUGUAUGAUUGAUGUACAACUUUGUAGGUGCACCUCUGUUAUGAACAACACAGUUUCUCAGGUGUAGAUGUAAAACCAAAUCAAUUUAUAUAUUUUCAACAUCAAUCCCUUAUUGGAUAGAUCUUGCAUUUUCAAGACCAGAUCAUAAGCAUUGUUGAAAGUGAAUCAGAAGCAGACUUAAAACGCAGCGUUUUGCUGUUGUUAGUUUACCAGUUUCAUCACUUAAGUCCCACGUGCAUCACUUAAAUUGACUAAGGUCACAAGCAAGGGGACAAGGCUACGUUGCAGACUCUGUAAGUAACAGCUCAGUGCAAACUGGCCUUGUAUCAGCUGAGUUCCAAUAGCUUUUCCUCUCUCCUGCAACGCGUGGAUGCUCCCCAUUUGCUAUGUUACAUACAGAGUCUGUAACAUAGCAAGCACCCAAGCAAGGCUGUCAAGCCGUUAUUUUUUACGGGAAGCGACAAAGAGCUCGGUUAGGCUGGUGGUUGUACCAUUUUCUGGAGAGAGACAAUUGGUGAGGGGUUUUUUUUCUUCAAGUUUGUACUCAGUGGUAUUAAAAACAAUUUUUGUGUCUUGCAUUAAAAAAAUCGGCAGAGAAAUUGACUUGUUUAUGGGAUGGGAUUAAGUCAUAUCGGGUGACUGAAUCAUCACAAAUUCUGUUUUGUCGAUUGUUCUGGUUUAAUCUGUUUUGCAAUGUCUCGAGUCUUUCAACUGUGUUCAUAUUCUUGAUCUUGAGGGGGGUUUCUUUUGCAGAGAUUAAGGAUAAUAAGAAAAAACCUUGAAUCAAAUGCUUCCCUGAUAAAAAUGUAAACUAGAUACGCUUAUAGCUGUGAACCAAGAAAAUGACUCAAGCAUACAGAAAGAACUAAUUUUUCCCCAGCAUAAAACAUUCUCUAUUAUUCAUUGACAUUUAUAGUACUAUGAGCAGAGAUGAAGUAUUUCUCUACAUCCAGCAUCGACAGCUGAUAGUUGAUCACACAUCAUUACAAAACUGACAGUUUGUCUUAUUGUUCAUGAAUCAGGAGUCAUCAAUCCUUCAGUCCUCAUCACCAAGGUGUCCUGAAUGUUCUUGCUCAACAAGCCAACCAGGGAACUUAUUGCUGACCCUUUGAUUCAUUAUUGAUCUCGAUUCUCUGAUUGCUCUAGAAUUCAAAUGUAAUGGUUCCCACCAAAAAUGCUUCACUGAGGCAUUCCGUCGAACAUAAUCUGAAAACCAACAAACACCUUCUCAUUUUAACUAUUCUACAAGAUGCUGCUCUGUUCAGCUCUGCCAGAAGAUCAUCCGUGUUUACAACUGCUCUCAUGGUAUAGAAAUACAAAUGCCAUAAAGAUAUUGUCAGUGUACAUGUAUCCCAAAAGCCCAGCCAUCUUGCAAGCAAAAAUAAAUACGCAUGUGGUCAUACUUAUCAAGCAUGAAUUAAAUUCCAUUAAAAAUUGUCCUCUUUUAUGCCUUGGAAGGCAUAGAACCAUAGGCAAUUGGAGGUUUCUAAUGGUCUCAUAAAGUGCACAAACCAAAAUUACAAAGAAAACUAUCUACAAAAGUUGAAUGACAACCAAAAAUAUAAAGUACAACCUAAAAACAAAUGCCAAUUUUCCAUAGUCUAUGAACGUGAUGCUACAUAGUUUCGCUAUAGUAUACUCAAAUAUGCAUCAGAAAGUUAAGGUAGUACUGGAUCAUGGAAAUAAACUGUGAACAUAAGGAAAGACUAGGCAUCUUUUGGUGUAAAAAAUUAGUGCAACAGUAACUUAUAACCCAAGAGAUUAUAAAGCAAUUUCGUUUAAGCUAUUUCUGGAAAAAAUAUGCAGAAAAUGCAAAAAAUAAAAAGUAGAUAAUUGAUUAAAAAUAAUCCCAUAAAAAAAUGAUAAAGAACCAGAAAUUGAUGGGAGCAUAGAACUUACAUAAGAAACCAUAAUAUGAGAAACCAACUCCUUUGUUAGUCAGGGUUGACUUGAUCUCUGCGGAUUCUCUUGGAACUCGGUUCCAAUUCCCCAUCUUCAGAUCUGCCAACACAUGUAGAAGGUUUACUUGUGCCAGCAGGCAUCUUAUUAUGACUGCAUUCUUCUUUAGUACUGGCAGCAAAUUCCAAAGUAUAAGUGUUGAGUUUUGUCUUAUUGGGACUCAAAUACACUGGAGACACACCACAAUUUCUCAACCGGUAAGGUGCCGGGAGUCUAGCUAUUUUAUCUACAAUGUCGAAGUGAAAUGAGACAAUUCCAGGGUGUUCACCAUCAGCAUCAGGUAGCCCAACAUUCCAACAGGGAAAAAAACCAAGUAUGACAUGAUCCGAGUCAGUGGAUACGUCAGGGCCAAAACGGGAUUGCAUAGCAAAAUGUUUGGUUUCAGAGUGUGUCCUUAUUUCAAAAGUGCAGUUACAUAGGACAUCUAAUUCGCCUGCCUGAAUGACAAUACCAAAAGCAAAUCCAAUGAAGUUUCUUUUUAUGUUAAAACAUUGAUGUGGCCCUUCAAGUGUUAUUGAAGAUCCUAAGCUUCGAUGAAUAAACCAAUCAGGAAUUUCACUUCCAGGUAAACAAAGGUUGACUUCAACUGGAUGAGCAAAUUCCUCAUCUGAAUUCCGAAAGGCUUGUUGACAUAGUUUCAGAGAUUGAACUAUCAUAUCCUGAAUUCUCUCUUUUGAAUCUGCCAAAAUUUUGAUGUUUCCGUUUUCAUUCAGUUUCGGGCAGUUGCUAAAAUUGAAGUUCAUAAAUAUCCUUGAACUUUGUUCGAAGGGCAUGGAGAGUGUUUCCAUUAUGGAUGUAUCUAGUUCUUGCGGACACAAAGGAAGCUCUGGCAAAGAUUGAAGCCUCUUGCAAUUGCUUGCUAUUAACAUCUCUAGAAACAAUGGAAGCUCUGAUAAUGACUGAAGCAUUUUGCAAUUUCCCAAGUGAAGAUAUCUCAGCUCUGGUAAUGACGGAACAUUUUCGACUGCAGUCUCCCGUAAGUCUAGUUUUAUUAGAUUUGGGAUUUCAGUUGGUUGUGGGAUCCUGGUGAGAAAUUGGGAGUUGCGUAGGUCGAUAAAUUUUAAAUUGAGAGCCUCCUGUUAAAAAAAAAGAUAAUUACUAUGUUAAAUUACUAUGUAUCAAUAAAAUUGUCAAUUAAUUAAAUAAAUGUAAAGAAAGAAAAAUAUAUAUUUUGGUAAUAGUAAUACACUAUACCUUUUCUCCUUCCCAAAUUUGCUUAACUUUGCUAUAAGGCAAAUUCAGUUCAAUAAGGUGCUCUGUCUCAAAAUAAAAUGGCAGUGUUUUCAAUGGAUAUCCAUGCCAGUGGAGAUAUCUCAAUUUUGCAGGAAGAUAUUUAAGAACUGGAUCAAGAUGCACUCUAAAGCUCACACUUGAAACAUCACAACGCUCUGGAACGUAGAAUUUAAGCCAUUUGAGAUUUGACAUAUUCUCAAAGGCUUCAAAACUCAAACGCAUCUCCUUUGUUUUGGACAAAUCAAGGAAUAUGCCCUCAAUUGCAUCGGUACCCUUUUAAACAAAGCAAAGAAUGACUGGGUAAGCAUAAAUUCUAAAAAAACUUCUGAAAAGUUGAUUAAGUGCUUCCUAAUCGAAGAAUAAAAUGCACACAAAAUCUACAAAUAUUAGAGUAUAGGUGAUUUUACUUGGUUCUUAGCGCCAAAACAUUUAAGCAUUAUAACUAGCCGGGGGAACUGAUAAAAUGAUAAAUAAAAUUAACACUUAAUAGAACCGUUAUAACAUCAAGGGGAUAAGAAUGAAAUUUUAAAAUAGGAUGGGAGUUUUGUUUGAUUAAUUAUUUGCUUUCUCUAUGUAGAAAGGGGUGAGCUCUUUUUGACCCUAUAAAACUAACAAGGUUUUUAAGUACGAAACGAAAUUAUAGUGAAUGGGAGCAUAGUACAUAUAAUUUAGGGGUUUAUGUUGUUUUGUCCGUACAAGUAAUUUGGACUAAGGAUGUAUAGAGAGAAAAAUUAUGUCAAAUAAGUUGAUUCAUACCUUAUUUUUUGUUAGCACGUCGUAGACAUCUUUGCGAUCCCAUAGCCUGCUACGAUUGCCUGGUUCUUCAGAUUCUUCGCGAACAAUUGUUUGACCCAUUUCUUGCAAUAAAUCAUGCAUUUGCAACCUCUUAUACGAUAUUGUAAUGAGUGACUUGUCAGCAAGGAAUUCCAGUUCAUAGCGCAGAGACGUAGGCUUGUCUUGUAUCCUUGUCACAUUGUCCACUUGUUCUCCUUUGAAGAAACAUGCAAUGUCAAGAAAUAUUUUCCUAUGUUUCGGACUUAGCUCAUCAUAACUGAUUUUCAGCACCUUAUAAAUUCUAGGUUCAGAAAUCAGUGUCAAGUCAUGCAAUUUAUUAUGCCACUGUUCUUCGCUCUUUCGUCUCAGGGAAGAACCCAAUACUUGAAGAGCUAACGGAUUGCCAUCAGCAUAACAUGCAACUUUCUUUGAGAGCUCCAGAAGUUCAUCUGAGUGGUUUUUCCGACUUAAAGCUUUUCUACAAAAGAGCUCACAAGCUUUAUUGUGAUCCAAUCCCUUGACCUCGUACACAAUACUAUUGACUCCAAGUACUCCUCUAUCUCUAGUGGUUAUAAUAAUUCUACUUCCAGGUCCAUAUAGACAUAGCUCUCCAACUAAACUUUCUAAUUCUUGGAUGAAGUUAUCAUCAACAUCAUCAAGAACGAUCAACACUUUACUCCGCUGAAGCCUUUUCCUGGUAUGUGGGUGUAUUGUAAGAGUUCCUAUUUUGAGAUUACUUUCUCCUAAUACUCGAGAAAUGACCUCAUCUCGAACAUUAAGUGCUCCCAUAUUUCUUGAUUCUUCUCUGACGUUUCUCAUGAAGCACUUACCGUCAAAGUGGUUUGAAUAUUCUCUAGAAGAAAUUUGGUGGAAAACAGCUUCAGCAAUGGCUGUUUUACCUAUACCGCCCAUGCCCCAGAUUCCUACGAUUCGAACACCAUCCAAUUCCAGACACAGCAGCGAUUUGAUUCUCUCAAUUUGUGAAUUGAAUCCGACGAAGCCAUCAAAAUUAGGUGGGUCUGCCAUGUCUUCCAAUUUCUUAGAAAUAUCUUCAGCAAUCUUUUCCACAAGUUCCGCAUCAUUCCUAGCAAGUGUUGUUCAAGAUAUAAAUACAAUGAUGAUGAGUCAAAAUAGAUCAAGCUAGGCUAUAGAGCAUUAAUGUUCUUUCGUUCAUUGACAAAAACAAAAGCAAGAGUUAAAGAGUUACCUGAAUAACCCGGAAUAAUGGAAUCCAGAUAUAUUUGAAGCUUGGGUCAAUGAAUCCCUCCAUUUCUGAACCUGGACCCUAUCCGGAAAGUUCCUUUCGUGGUGAACAAAAGCUUCUCCGAAACUCCUCCUCUGUUUUCGCACAUCGGAUGGAUCUACUUUGUAGAAAACCGGUACCACAAUUUGGCCAUUCCUAUUCUUGCAAUCAAGAAUCCUGACAAGUUCAUCGAGGCACCAUCUUGAAGACGCAUAGUUUUUUGAGAAGAUGAUUAUAGAAAUAUCUGAUGUUUCGAUUGCAUUCAAAAGGGCAGGCGAGAUCUCUUCUCCUCUCUGAAGUUCUUCAUCAUCUAUGAAGAACUGUAUUUGUUUCCGACGUAAAGCUUCAACUACAUGGCUGGUGAAGCCCGUACGGGUAUCCUCCCCGCAGAAACUGAGGAAGACAUCAAAUUUGCUUUGAGCAUUGAGGUUUGUAGAAGAUGAAGCCAUGGAUGAAGAAACAGAGCUUCAAAGUAGAUGAUGGACCGGGUCAAUAUGCUUUAUUAUUAUUAUUAUUCAGAGUAAGAAGACCAUAAAGAAAAGGCAAAGUCAGAAAUAAUGAGAGUGCAGUAGCCAGUAGCAUUGCUCUUUGUCACGCGUGUGUAAAUGUUAUAAUCAACACCCCAAAGCUUUUUCCAUUCGAAAGAGAUAACGAGAGUGAAUGGGCCUGGUGUUAUGUUUACUGGAGCGAGCUAGCAUUUCUCAUAGAGUUUACUAACUACAACCAAGAAAUAGAAGCAAAGCCAUCAAUUGGAUUAUGCAACCAUAUUUUAACUGAAUUAUAUAUAAGGCAGAGCCAUAAAUGUGGGAUAAAAGGUUUGAAUUUCUAAUCGCAUUCGUUCUGAUAGAGCUUGAAUAUCUCAAUUCAUCACAACUUUUUAUCUUCUAUUUCUAAUGAACAUAACUUUACGAUUCUUAGGAUUCAUUGAAUCAAAGAGAUCCAAACAUUACAAAGAAGAGUGUUUUUUCUUUUUUCCCUUUUUUUUUUUUUGUUGGCGGGGGGGAAUUACUGCCUCCCCCCACACCACCCCCCUUCUCCCUUUCCCCUUCGUCUUUUGUAACAAGCUUAUACACAGGUAAAAAACAGUAAUUUGCUGAGCUGCCAAAAUGACAGCUUGAUUCAAGCAUUUUCGCACACGAAGAAAAAGCCUUCAAUAGAUUGCUUCUGAAGCUCUUCUGUGACACCAUGAGCUCUCAUUGUGUAUAAACCCAAUGACAAAUGCUGUCAAGCCACCGGCAACGACAACACAGAACACCUUCAUUGAUUUAAAAUAAUCAAGGAAUGAGGGAAAAGAAAAAAAAAAAUAAUCUCCUGAUCUCUGACACUCAUACGAUAUGACCUGGAAGUGUAAAUGUGAGUCGAGAAGCUCCUCUCUUCGAUAUGAUCGACAUACAGCUCUACACGUGUACAUUAAGACUAAACACUACGUAGUGCCAUAGACAAAAAAAUUGUAACCAGAAUUAAUGAAAUAUCCUAGCGAUGAAUUAAAUAUUAAAUUUGGACAUAAAAUCAUUGAUUCCAAUAAUUAUCCAUAUAUGCUGCGUUUACUUUUUGGAUUGGACUGGGAAUCCUGAGGAGUGGGAAUCUUUGGAUUAGGAGUGUAGAGUGGGAGUGGGAGUAGGAUGUUUACUUAGACUAAAUGAAAAUAUGGAUUGUCAAUUAGAAUCCUAAUUAUUUGUUUACUUUGUCUUGGAUUGGGAGUAAAUUGUUUUAAAUUAUAAUUUUAUCCUUAUGUACAGAAUUAUAAUUUGUAAUUAAAAAAUUAAUAAAAAAUAUAUUUGGAAAAUAAAAUAAAUAUUUUAUUAUAUUUAUAAAUUAAUAAUAAUUACUAAUAUUCUUAAUUAUGUAAAUCAUAAUUUUUUAUUAAUUUUAAUUUAAAUUAUGUGAAUAAAAAUUAUUAAUAAUAGCAACACAAAUGAAAUAUUAUUAUUGAUAAUAUAGUACAAAAUUAAUAUUUUUUAGAAUAAAAUAUUUAUUAUUAUUAAUUAAAUAAAUAAAUAAUAUUUAUUAAAAUUAAUGUUUAAUAUUAUUAAUUUAAAUAUAAUAUUUAUUUAUUUUUAUUUUAUUAAAUUUAAUAAAAUAAAUAUGAUAUAAUUAUUAUUUUUAAUAAAUAUGAUAUUAUUUAUUUUAUGAAAUAUUAUUUAUUUAUUUUUUUAAAUAUUAUUUAUUUAUUUUAAUUUUAUAAGGAUAAAAUGGGAAGAGGGGGGAGUGGAUUCCCACUCCCACCUCCCCCAAUGGGAGUGGGAUUCCCACUCCCCACUCCAAAUUUGGGUGGGACCCACGGAUUUCCACUCUCACUCUCCUCAUUUUUAAGGUAAGUAAACACUGGAGUGGGAGGAAUCCACACUCCACACUCCCACUCCAGAAAAUAAACACUACCAUAAUGUAAUAAGCCGGAAAUGGUGAGGAGAAAACAAGAUAAAAUAGAAGAUAUCAGAGUGAUUCCUUAAAGCACAGAAGGGGAAUCUUCAUUUCCAAACAACAUUAAACUUAAUCUCCAUGAAAUAAAUUGCAGGUAUUAACUAAAUUCACAGAAAACUGAACUUCCCCAUUACUCCUUCUGUGACUAGAUCCAAAUUUCAAAUGUGGUAUAAGACUCGAAAUGAACAAAACUACAAAAAAAGAUACAAAUCCGAAUCACAAACUUUACAGUCAGUGUUAAAAAAUUAGAUUAAGACAAAAGCACAAGAAAAUAAUGAAAUUAAAAUGAAUUAGAGCAUUGACUUACAGAAGGAAUUCUGCAAAUUCACAUUUGAAUCAAGUCGAUUUCAUCAGGCAUAUCAAAUCCUGUAGAUGUUUCAGUUGUGAUUGCCUUACUUGCUUUCAAUUUUGCUUGCCUUAUCAUCCAAUUUCCCAAUUUCGGCAGCAAAUUUUAGAGUAAAAGUUUUGGGUUCGGUCUUGUUGGGAUCUGCAUAUACUGGACUCACCCCACAACAUAUCACCUUAGCAGGGAAGAAAUCAACCAAGACAGUUGUGUUGUGAUUACCACCACCCACAGGAAACCCACCUAUCCCGAAGGGAAUAAAUCCAAGUAUGACAUGAUCUGAAUCAAUGGCGUCGCGAAUACUAGCUAAAGAGCAAUUGAAAGACAAUUCUUCAGGUUUAUUCAUUUUAAUGUAGAUUCCACAGUUGAUGUAGAAAGAAUCCCAACUAUUAGAAGGAAGAUGCUUAAAAUCAAUAACAGCACAAAGUGCAAACCCAAUUAAGUUGAUUAAACAAUGCUCUGGCAGUUGAAGAGCUAUUAAAGGUCCAAUAUUUUGAAAUGUGAACCACUUAGGAAUUUCGCUCCCAGGUAACAGUAUGCUGGGACAAUAGAGUUGUUCCUGUAAAAUGAAAAUCAAGAUUUCAGAUGUAUCGAAAAGGGAGAGAGGAGAUAGAGAAAGAAAGAGAGAAAUGAAUACCUUUUCAUAAAAUAGUCUCAAUGAUGCAAUUGCCAUACGCUGAAUUCUUAGCUCUGAAUCUGCCAAAAUCUUGUCUUCAUUUAGUUCCCAGCAAUUCUGAAAUUCAAACUGCAUUAAAGAGCAAUCAUGCUUCAUAGGAAAUGUAGUUUUGGAUAACUUUUCGAGUAUGGAUAUAUCUAGUUCUUCUAGACAUGGUGAAAUCUCUGGCAAAGAUUCGAGCCGCUUGCAAUUACUUGCAUCUAAAUGACUUAGAAACAGUGGAAGUUCUGGUAAUGACUGAAGCAUAUUGCAAUUUCUCAAGUAAAGAUAUCUCAGCUGUGAAAAUUGCUUGAUGGUUGCAGGUAACCUCUCCAAGUUACUUCCACUUAGAUUUAUUCUCUCAAGAUUUGGGAUUUCUGAAAAUUCUGGCAACCUGGUGAGAUAUUGUGAAUUACAGAGGUUGAUAAAUUUUAACUUGAAAGCCUUCUGUAACAAAAGAGAAACAGUCACUAGAACGAAUUAGUAUAAUUUCGGGAUUCCACAAUUAGCUAUAUAACUUUAAAGAAAGAAAAAUGUAUAGUAAUGUAUUUGUAUAUUGUACCUUUUCUCCUAUCCAGAUCUGUUCAACUUUACUGUAAGGCAAGUUGAGCUCAAUUAGGCACUUGGGUUUGAAAGAAAAUGGCAGUGUUUUCAAAGGAUAUUCAUGCCAAUGGAGAUAUCUCAAUUUCUUGGAAAGAUAUUCAAGAUCUUGGUCAAGACGUAAUUUGGAGCUCAUAACUGGAACACCAUAACACUCUGGCAUAUAGAACUUAAGCAAUGUGAGAUUUGACAUAUUUGCAAAGGCGUGAGAAUGCAGAUGAAGGUAGUUUAUUUUGGACAAAUCAAAGAAUAUGCCCUCAAUUGCAUCAGUCCCCUUCAAAAAAAAAAAUUAAAAAAAGAAUGAGCAAGCAUAAAAUCUACAAGAAAAAAAAAACUUUUGAUAAAUAGAUUAAGUGUUUCCGAUAUAAUUGAAGUAUUUUUUUUUAAUUAAUACAACAUCCAUGUAUUAAAAAAAAAAUGUGUGCGGUUAUUCUAGUGAUCAUCCUCUGCUCUUCUCCGUUACAGUUUUUUUCAUUUUACUUUUCUCUAAAAGUUAAAAGUUGAGAAGAUAACAGUUAAACAAAUUUCAUCAUUGAUUAAUCUAACAUUUGGCGAUUGUAUAUAGAAGCCAAAAUGUUUAUUUGCUAAAAAAACUACCCAAGGUUUUAAAUGAAAUGAUAUUAUAGUGAAUGGGUGUUAAAAAAAGAUAAAAAGUUUUGUCCCUAUAGUGACAUCCACUAACCAGUAAAGAUAUUUUUAGUAAUUAAAAAAAAAUUAAUGUUGCAUGUAGCCUCACAUACAAAAUGUCAAAUAAAUAGAUUCUUACCUUAUUUUUCUUUAGCACUUGAUAGACAUCAUUGUGAUCCCAUAAUUUGCUACGUUUGCUUGGUUCUUUGAAAGAUUCUUGACGAAUAAUUGUCUUACCUAUUUCUUGCAACAUAUCAUGCAUUUGCAGCCGGUUGUCAGAAAUUGUAAUGAGUGACUUCUCAACAAGAAUGUUCAGUCCAUUUCGCAUUGAUGUAGGAUCAUCUUGUACCCUUGUCACAAAGUCUACAUCUUCUCCUUUGAAGAAACAUGCGACAUCAAGAAAUAUUUCCUUCGCUUCCCAAUUUAGUCCAUCAUAACUGAUUUUCAACGCCUUAUAAGUAUUAGGAUCAGUAAUCAAUUUCAACUUAUGCAAUUUAUCUUUCCACUGUUCUAUGCUCUUUUGAUAAAGAGAAGAACCCAAAACUUGAAGAGCUAAUGGAUUGCCAUUGGCAUAAUGCGCUACCUCCUCUGAGAGCUCCAGGAGAUCAGGAGAGCGAUUGUUUUGUCUAAAGGCUUUUCUACAAAAGAGCUCAAGUGCAGAAUUGUGUUUCAAUCCCUUAACCUCAUAUACGUUUUCUACUCCACGUUUAUCGAGUAGCCGUUUAUCUCUAGUAGUUAUAAUAAAUCUACUUCCAGGGCUAAAUAGAUCUAACCCCCCGGCAAAACUUUCUAAUACUGGGAUGAAGUUAUCAUCAACAUCAUCAAGAACGAUCAGCACUUUCCUCUGUUGGAGCCUUUUCUUGAUAUUUGGGGUUAUAGUGGGAGUUCCUAUUUUGAUAUUUUCUCCCAUUACUUGAGAAAUAACCUCAUCUCGAACCUGUAUUACUCCCAUUUUGUUUGAUUCUUCUCCGACGUUUUUCAUGAAGCACUUGCCUUGAAAGUGUCCAGAAAUUCGGUGGAAAAUAACACUGGCAAUGGUUGUUUUACCGAUUCCGCCCAUGCCCCAAAUUCCGACAAUUCGAACAUCAUCCAAUUUGAGACAUAGAAGUGAUUUAAUUUCCUCGAUUCGCGAAUUUAAUCCAACGAAGCCACUUAAAUCAGUUGAAUCUGACAUAUCUUCCACUUUCUUGGAAAUAUCUUGAGCAAUCUUUUCCACAUGUCCCGCCUCAUUCCUAGCAAGUGUUGUUCAAGAUAUAAAUACAAUGAUGAUGGGUCAAAACAGACCAAGCUAGGCUAUAAAGCAUCAAUGUUCUUUUCAUUUUCGAACUAAGCCCGUAAAUGAUUAUUGAUCCAAAAAAAAAAAAGCAAUUUUUUUUUUUUUAAUUUGACUGUGUUCAGUUAACAGUUACCUGGAAUCCAUGACAACAAAUCCAGAAAUAAUUGAUGCCUUGGUCAGUGCCUCUCUCCAUUUCUGAACCUUUUUUGGGAAGUUCCUUUCAUGGCGGACAAAAGCUUUUCUAAAUCUGCUCUUCUGUUUGCGCAAGUCAGAUGGAUCUACUCGUUAGAAAACUGGUACCACAAUUUUGUCAUUAUUCUUUUCCAAGUAAUCAAGAAUCUUGACAAGCUCAUCGAGGCACCGUGUUGAAUAAGCAUAGUUUUUUGAGAAGAUAAUUACGGAAACAGCUGAUGUUUCGAUCGCAUUCGAAACGGCGGGCGAAAUCUCAUCUCCCUUCUGAAGUUCUUCUUCAUCAUCAAUGAACAAUUCUAUUUGUUUACGACGUAAAGCUGCAGCUAGAUGGCUCGUAAUGCCCGUACCAGUAUCCUUGCCUCGGAAACUGAGGAAGACAUCAUACUUGCAUUUAGCAGUAAAGCUAGAAGAUAAACAAGAAGACGAAGCCAUGGACCAAGGGAAUUUUUCAGAUUUUAGAAAACGAAAGAGAGAUUCUUUUCUUGAGUACAAGAUGUAAUAAUCAAAAUAGUUUUGAAGUAAAUAAAUAUACUAAUAUCAAUUAGAUACUUUUUUUUUUUGGGGGGGUGGUUAGAGGAGAUGAUUAUUGAGUCCAAUUUUCAUAGACGACAUAAACUUGGAACAAUUAUUAAUUAUAUAGUUGGAUUAUUGACAUGACGUUGUUGAUAUAGUCCUCUGGCUUAUCACAAAUGACACGAAAAUAACACAGAGGAUUAAUUACUAUCAAGAUUUAUCCUUUUAAUAUCUCAUUUUGUACUUGAUACUACAAAUUCAAAUAAUAACACCUAAUUGAAAGAUAAAUCUGUUUCGGUAAAGAAAUUUUCAAAUCUUACUUAAUGUUUUAAUUAUAAAAAAAUCAACUUAAACGAUACAUAAUUAAAAGAGGAUCUGACAAGAUGAGCGUCGUCAUCGCUCUCCACGCAACUCCCACGCGAGCCCCGUAGCUCUUUGUAGGCAGAGCGGCGGUACUCGUUUAACCAAAUUUUCAUAUUUAAAUACUCAAACCUUAUUAUUGAAGUUGCAAGAUUUUUUCAUUUUAGUACAAUCAAAAACAUCUUUUUUAAUGUACACAACUAAGUUAUCACUUAAAGUGUGUUUAAAUUUUUUUAAUAAUAGCAAAAAUAUUCAUAUAAUGCAACACGAAGAGCAAAUAUGAAUACAUGAUGAAUUUGAAAUUUUGAAACUACAAAAAAAAAUUUUAAAAAUUAUAAAUUAGAAUUAGCAGACUUAUAAUUUAGGGAUUAAUAUUGAAAAACUAUAUAAUUGAAGGAAAGUGCUUUUGAUUUAUGGGAACUGUGAUGAAAUCCAUGCACUGAUGCACACGCACUACUCUAAUCGGCUAUUGCACUACCACCAUGCAGUACCACAUAAAUUAAGUGCCAGUUUGGUAAUGCUAUAUCUUUUAAAAUAAUUAAUGUUAGUUGUACUGUAGAAAUAAUAAAUUAUGAACUGAAUUAGUAAAAUUUAUUUUUAAAAGUGUUGUAAAUAUUAAAUUGUUGUAAGAAUAUAAAUGACUAAAUUAGACAUAAUCUUGAAUAAAAUUUAUUUACACAUUUACAAACAUGUAUAUAAAAUAUUUAUAAUCGUGUGUAAUACUAUAUAUAAUAAUUGAUAAUUAAAAUAAAUAUUUUAUAUUAUUAAUUUUAUUUUUUAUUUUGUUAUCUCAAUAUAAUUAUUAAUAAUAAUAACCUCUUUAAAGUUAAUAAUUUUAUUUCCUGAUUAAUAACGAUAAUAUUAGAUUUUUUAAAUAUAUACGAGGAUAUAUAUAGAAUUAUAUUAAGUAUAAAAGUGAUUUUAAAAAUCAGAUUUUGCAAAGCUACUUUUUUCCUACUUUACAAAUUUUGUUGUAAGAUAGGCGAUUUUGCUAAAAGUGAUUUCUAAAAGAAUUUCUCAUAUACCAAAAUUAUAUUUUAACUUUUUAAAAUUACUUUUUAAUCUCCUAAAAGUAACCCCAAACAUGCCCUAUGUGCUUUUCUUCAAAGUAUUAGAAAGAGAUAAAAACAAAAAACAAAAAGAAAAGAAAUAAGUGAAUCUCUUUUGUUUUUAAUUGGGUCUUUAUUUUUAUUUUAAUAUCUAUUUUUUUUUUUGUUUUUAUUUAAGUUUCAUAGUAUUUUAAUAAUUAAUCAAACUAUUUAAAAUUAAACAUUUAAACUUAGGGCAACAUGCAAUCUUUUAAAGCUAACAAGGGACUUUCAUAAUUUUAUAUUUCAACUAGCGCACUUUCUUAAAUAAUAAAUAAAAUACAUUUCUUUUUAACAACCAUCAAAAAAAUUUCAAAAGCUAGUUGGGGAAAAGUCAUCUGGGCCCGUCCCCCAGCCAGUCCUAUGCUGAUAUAUUCAUAAUAUUAAUAUUAGGAACCUAAUUUCACAAAGCAUUUGUUUAGUUGAGUAAUUUUUCGUCCUAUUCUUGAGGUUAAGGGGUUUCAUUUUUUUUCGUAGUGAAAAUUGACUUUCUUCUAAGUGUUUGGAAAUAAAACCAAUCGAUUCUAAGAUAUAAAACUAAAAUGUUCUGGGUAAUUAAAAAGAAAAAAUCACAUUCAAUAUUUUCACAAAAAGCUGAGACACUUGGCAGGCACUUUCUAAUAAGCAUAGGGUGAGGAAGAGUCUGACAGUUCAUAAAUUUUCAGCCAAGAGUCUAUACUUGUUUAAUUCACUUUAUAUACACUUUCUAUUAUUCUUUACAUUUUCAGCCAUGACAGUUCAUAAAUCACUUUCUAUUAUUCUUUUUACAGUGGUUUAAUUCAUUAAAGUAUCGUUACAUAUACACACACACACACACACACACACAGAACAAUCAACUUACUUCAUUAGAGAAAUCUAAAUCAUCACCUUUCUUUCUUUUUAUGAUUUUCAAAAUUAAUUAAAAAAGUGAAGCAUAUAGAACAGGUAUAUAUACUUAUAUAUAGGUGGUAGGUCGGUCCCUGGUGCUGCCCAACCCAUCAUCACUUGUUUUAUAUGCAUACUGAGAGAGAAAGAGAGAGAGAGAGAGAAAUUCGUCAAAGCUAUAUCAUUCGAUCCACGAGUAGUUGAAUAAUUUCUUGACGAUCAGUUCAAAGUAAAUGAUAUUACUUUUAAGCUGUGUCCGGAGUGCCACUGAUUUGAUCUCUCUUUAACGAAAUGUUAAUGCUGUUGUUCAAACACGACUUAUUAGUCUUAAUGUAGAGUCUCUUUAUUUUGUGAUAAAAAUCAGACUUUUCCACCCGCUGAUUUCUUUUACAUCUUCUGAUCUUGAUCAUUUUAAUCCAAUAACCUUUUUCUCAUGAGAUGACUGUCAAUGUAGAAAAAGGAAACAGAGCAUAACUGGUUUAUCAAUAGUUAUAUAAAGGGGUUAGAAUAUGAAAAGAGUGCCCAUUGGAUUCUGCUGUAGGGAUUUAUUAAGUGCCCGCAAUAAAAUAUUCAGUCAUACAAAUCAUGGCAGAGGAAAAAAAAUGACCUGAAUCCAUAAUUGCUGGGUCUAAAAAUUUGAAGAUACACACACAACUUUUGAAAUAAAUAUGAAAACCAAUGAAGAGAAAAGAAAAGAUACUAUAAACUUGACCAAUUCAUCUAAAAUCAUGAUUAUUCGUGAUUAUAUACAAACGGCAAUUCAUUGGAUCAAUAAUAGGGAUACAAGAUCACCAGGUAAAGCAAAACUAACAGUCACAUGAACGUUACAAUGAACCCAAACAAAACAAAAGGAGGCGAUACAACUAAAGACAAGCGACACUAAGGAACACCGAACCACAGGGGAACUUGCUUGAGUGUGACAGAUAAAAACAGAAAGAAACAAACACGUUCAAUUUUGAGAUAAUUGAUGAUCACCCUCAACUUCUGGUUCUUUUGAAAAAGAUGAGAAUUAUGUAAGACAAAGAAGAAUUUAGCAAUUUGUUACUCCUCCUGAUGGCUAUUUAUAACCAGCCAAUCGAGAAUUUAGCAUAAAAGAUGUAGCCAUUCACCAAAAAAGUCCAAAAUUUCAUCUGCUUUAGCUGUUGGACCUCAAGAGAUCUAGCUAGAAUCAAAUUGUCUGACUAGCUUUUCAUAAUGAAUUGGCAAGCUUAAAAUCCUAAAAGCUUUAUUAAAAUUCUCUACCUCUUAUUUUUGUUGUAAUCAACGUGUGGUUAUCUUCAAUUUCGAUGAGCUACUUGCAGUUAAUGGUCAAGAUUUGCACUCCACUGUUUGGCAUAUUUGUAGUUAAAAUAAUAAUAAUAAUAAUUAGAAGAACAACAUGUAAUGUCAGAACUUGAUCAUCAUAUAACAAAUUAAACCAUUAAAAAUGCAAACAAUCAUAGGAGUUUCUAGGCCUUAAAAAAUCCACAGCCGCAGUUCUCAAUUCUCAAUACACUCCCAGCAAAUAUAACCGUCUGACCAAUUCUAAAAUGCAAAGUGAUAACAUCUAAAAUUGUUUCUGAAUUUCAGUAUUCAAGUAACAACAAAGACGGUGCGGUCAAAGAUAUUCCAAAUACUAGCCUAUGGUACUAAAGUGAGGUGCAUACCGUAUGAAAUCAUUACUUUGAGAAAAAGUUUUACUGAUGCAAGUGUGCCUUACCCUUCAUAGAGAAGCACCCCCAUAAGUUCUUCCUUUGUGAUGUCUAGUUUAUUAAGAAAAAUCAGAAAUGUGAUGCGAAAUACUCCAGAUUUCAACCUAAGUUCAUUCAUGACUAGUGAAUCCAGUAACCGUUUAAACUAGUGUCUUUAUUUUUAUUUAUUAUUAUUUUUAGUACUCCUGCAUUUAAUCACAAUUAUUAAGGAUAAUCAAUUAAGGCAGAUAAUCAAACACUUUCUUUUCUAAUUUAUAUUUUAUUAUUUUGUAUUGAAGAGAAAUAGAAGUAAUUUAAUUAUUAUUUAUUUUUUAAAAAAUAAUUAUUUGAUUAAAAUAAUAUUAAUAAGAAAUUUUUUAAAAAAUAUAUUUUUUCACUCUUCUAUUUGACACAUAAGUAAAUAAAUAAAUAUUUAAAAAAUAAAAUUAAUAAUACUUUUUAAUGCUGCUCUAAGUAUAUGUAUUAUUAGGGGGUUGUUUGUUAUCAGGUCUCCACAUUUAUUAAUUCAAUUAUUUUGUAAAUCACUUCUUGAAGAAGAGGGCAUUCUUGUAUUGUUUAUGUACAUUUGAGGGUUUAAUUUUAAAGUAAGAGAAUAAUAGCAGCAUAGCACUACUAGUUGGGAGGUUAUUGAGGAGUAGGGAUGACAAUUUUUCUCGAUGGGAUGUGAUCUCGCAGGAUCCCAUCCUAUUUGGGACGGGAUUGAGACAUAUUUUUGUUCUAUAAAAAAAUUUAGAGAUGGGAGUGGAAUAUUUUUUUAUCUCAAUUACAUAUGCGGGACGGGAGUGGGAUUGACAAAUUCUGUCUCAUCUUGUCUCAUUAUCGAUUAAGAAUGGAAAUUUUUUCAAUUGGGAUGAGAUCCCGCAGGUUCCCAUCUUUUUUUGGACGGGAUUGUGACAUAUUUUUGUCCAAAAAAAAAUAUAUGGACGAGACUGGGAUCUUUUUUCAUCUCAUUUGUAUAUACAAGAAAAUCUCAGUCUCAUCUCGUCCCAUUGCCAACCUUAUUGAGGAGGUUUAUAAAAAGAAAAGGGGUUUGAUGAGGAUGAUAGAGGGGCGCCCAUAGCACCACUCUAUAAACGUUUGUAAUGUGUUUCAAACGCAAAUUUCUUGGGUGCGCUCAAAUCCACGUAUUGAAAGUUGAACUCCAUUAUGGUUUCGUUUUAAGGAUGUAAUUAUGUAGCAUAAAUAAAUUGAUUGAUAUAGUUUUAAAUAUUUCUGAUAUCAAUCUCUAAAUGUUUAUGUAUAUCUUUUUUUAAUAAUAAAAACAUUUUUAAUGUAUUAUAUAUUACUUAGCUAUCUCAGAGAAUUUCUCAUUUGGGUGUGGACUUUUAAUGGUCAUAAAAAUGUCAAUAAUGAAAAUGAAAAGCAAUAAUCUUAAAACUAGUAGAACCGAGUACUCGGCAAGAAGGAGUUAGCCAAUGAUAUGUUUACAUUUAAUUUCCACCAAUAUUUCAAAAUUACUGAAUAAGGCCACUUAAUAAAAAGUUGAGAAAAUAAAUAUUUAUUGAUUUAUUUCAUACAUUGCAUUGCAUGUGUUAGGAGCAGUAAAAUGUGAAAUUUUGUGAAAGAAAUAUCUCAUCAACUUUUUGCUUCACAGUUUUUAACUUUAACAUGUGACUAAAAUAAAAUUUAUAAACAAAAAUAUAAAUUAUUUGUGUUCAUGUUUAAUCGUAUCUACAUAAAGAAUAACUUUCGAACGACUAGUCCGUUGUUGUUAUUAUUAUUAUUAUUGUUAUUAAAAAAAGAACAUUAUACUAAAAUUAGAAAAACACGCAAUGUAGUGGUUAGCCACUAGGUUUUAACUUAGUGGUUAGAACUCAAACUUUACAAUUGUGAGGUUAAGGGUUUGAGAUCCCACAAUAUAUUGUGGGGGUUUAAUAAUAGAGAGGGUAAAAUUUUAAUUUUACUUUAAUUCUCAAUAAUAGUUUGAUUAGAAGUCUCAUUAAAUAUUAGAGAGGGUAAAAAUUUAAACGGUGCUGCUUAAGAGCCUAAGUAAUAGUUAAUUUUUAAAAUGUGAGUAAAGUAAACGUUCUCUUAAAUAUUAAAGAGGGUAAAAAUCUAAGCGGUACUUCAUAAGAGUCUCAGUAAUAGUUUGAUUUAUAAAUAAUUUUAUAUAAUUUAAAUUAUGCUCUUAAACAAUAAUCUCAUUUAAUUUUUUUUAAAAAAAAAAAAAACACGCACGCUGAUGCAAUGUGUUUUUUCAGAAGCAUUGGAUUAUUUCACCUUUUUAUCUGAAUUGUGAAAAGGGCAAAAACAUCUGUUCACUUGAAAUUCCCCGUGACAGGCACGUGUCCUGGAUGAGGCCGAAAAUACAAUUGCUUUUUAUCUUGCUUUCCUCCUUGAGUCGGCAUUGGCCAGUUUUUGUGAACUUUGUCUUGUAAUUUCAUUUCUGGAUUUGCUUAGUGCGAAAGCCACUGGGUUCGAAGAAAACAAGGUGUUCGGUCAAUUGUCUAAAAGAAGUUUAUAACGCUGCCCAUUACCACCUGCCCACGUUCACAAUGAGUGGGAACAACAUAAACUCGGUGUUCUACGCCGAGUUGUAUCAUCCGAUUCAAGCUGGCAGCAUUGACGGCACCGAUAUUCACCCCCACGAUAACGCCAUUUGUCGUGCUCUGCUCUGCUCCUCCGCUGGACUCUGUAUGUGCUUCUAUUUUCUUUAUUCCUUUCCACC
rnacentral:lncRNA from 1 species